rnacentral:lncRNA from 1 species
GGAGAGAAGUGGCGGUCCGCAAUGCAGGUUGAAAACCGCAUUGCGUGUGAAACCGCAUUCAUGGUGUGAUGAAAGAGCACUGAGAGUUUGUUGUGCAGCUUGGUUGUAUGCCACAGUCACACGAGUAUUUGAGUAAUUCACAAGGCCACGUUAAUUGUAGUCGGGCAUGGUUGUUGGAGUGGGACUCCGGUGGAUGCAUUUCGGUUUUGGUUCUAGUUUUUUACGCAGCUUGGUUAGAAUACUAAUUUCCCAAAGUAGAUAGCUAAUGAGAUUUCAUCCUAUUUGUUACCGUGUUUUUUUUUCUGGAUUAUUUUGCUAGCGAAUGUAGACUGUUGCACCCUUGCGAAUUCUUGUAGCGAUUAUAUUAUUCACUCUUUCACUGAAUUAGCUGUUUUUUCAUUGUUUCUUGUAUAUCUGCCAUUUUAAGGAUUUAUUAGUUUCAAGUUCAUAUCAUUUGCACAAGCAAAUAAAUGAACAACCUAAAUGGACAAUCUAAAUACACCACUGAUGCAAUAUCCCCAAUUGUUGAUAUAAACACAUGUUGCUAGUGAGUCAGCAAACAAAAUGAUCUUUUUGACCAUCAACACAACCUCAUUCUUAAGAUAUGCUUAUCAAAAUAAACUACUACACAAAGUUACAAAGUUACAUUAUAAAGCCUCCCACAACAAAAUCUACAAGCAAGGUCAAAGAGAAAAACUAAAAAUCCAUGUUCUAUUCUUUUCGACAACAACAUGAGAAAAGCAAAAAAUUUAUUCCAAGUAGUAGUGUUUUUGUCCCCCUAGAGGUUACAUUGGGUCUAUUUGUUUCUUGUGUUGGCUAUAGUGGAGAGGCAAUUGAAUUGGUGGUUUGUUGUAUCACUUUGUAAUAACUUGCAAUACUUUGAGUGGUCAUAAGAUCCAUAUGGUAAUAGAAGCCAUCUCAAUUGUAGGGGCUUCCUCACGCACCCAUAAAGAUAAUUACAAAAGAAAUAAUUAUAAAUAUUCUACCUAGAAUUCUUUAUUGAAGAAAAGAAGUCUAAAAGCUACAAACACUUAGCAUCAGCAAGGAUUGUAUUCUAAGAGAAGUGUGGAGAAAGUUAUCUCUUACUUCCAACACCUUUUACUUAUAGAUGGAGUUUACAUCCCAAGUACAUAGACUUCAUCUAGAGUCACCUUCAUCCUUUUAACUAGAUCUAGAUUCAUCUUAACCUAAUUGCCACCUUAAAACCCUAACUGUCACCAUAGUAACUUCUUUUAAUCCUUGGGUGCCUUUUGACUAUUAGCAACUUAUUAUGCUUAAUCUUUAUGUGGUGGUAACUAAGUAAGAACUUGUUGAUCUUCAACACUCCCACUUUACUAAUUUUCAAAAGGUUUUUAAUCCUAAUCUCUGAAUCAAGUGAUGAUGUCUAUUUUUCACUAAUGCCUUUGUAAGCACAUCAACAAGCAUGUCAUUUGUAGCAAAAUACUUCAUACCUAUUAUUCCAUCUUGAAUCAUCUCUCAUAUGAAAUGAUGUUGAAUAUCAAUGUGUUUGGUCCUUGAGUGGUGUUUUGGAUUCUUGGCAAAUGCAAGAUAUCUUUGAUUGUCACACAUAAUUAGAAUUGCUUCUAAUUGCACUAGACCAAUGUCUUCUAAGAAUUGCCUUAUCCAACACGCUUCCAUUGCACAAUGACUUGCUGCCAUGUACUCUGCUUCCAUCGUUGAUCUUGCAAUGGUAGAUUGUCUCUUGUAAUUCCAUGAAAUGACUCCCACUCCAAUGAAGAAGACAUAUCCCAUUGUGGAUCUUCUAUCAUUUGCAUCUCCAGUCCAAUCCGCAUCACAAUAACCUUGCAAAUCAAUGUUCUUACCACCAAGGCAAAAUUUGAAGUCUUUUGUACUUUUAAGUACCUCAAUAUCCUUUUUACUAUUGUCCAAUGCAUUGGACUAGCUUUAGACAUGUGUUGGCUUACAACACUUAUCGCAUAUGCAAGAUCCACUCUUGUGGCCACCAUUGCAUACAUGAGUGAGCCUACUGCUACUUUGUAUGGAACACUUUGUAUCUCACCUUCAACUUCUACAAAUUCCUCAUCCGUGAGCUUCAUCAACUUCAAAUUUGCCUCCAAGGGUGUUCCAAUGGGCUUGCACUCCUCCAUGUUGAAUCGUUUCAACACUUCUUCAAUGUACUUGAUUUGGCUCAUUGUAAUGGUCUUGUUACCACGAUCUCUUACAAAUUCCACUCCCAAGCAGUAGUGCAAUUCUUCCAAAUCACUCAUCUCAUAUUCCUUCUCUAAUUUGGCCUUCAUCCAAUCCAUCUUUUCCAUAUUGUUAGCCAAGAUGAUCAAAUCAUCAACAUAAAGGAUUAAAGUCAGCAAAAACUCUCUAGUUUGCAUCACAUACAAUGAAUGAUCAGCCUCAUUCCUCACAAACCCUUCAUUGAUAAAAAAAAAAAAAAAAAAGGUGUCAAUUUGUUGGUACCAUACCCUUGGUGAUUGUUUCAAUCCAUAUAAGGAUUUCUUCAAUUUGCACACAAGAUGUUCUUUGCUUUUUUGUAUAAAUUCUUGAGGUUGGUCCAUGUAGAUGUCUUCUUAUAAUUCUCCAUUCAAAAAGGCCGUCUUUACAUCCAUUUGGUGUAUUUCCAAAUCCAUUGCUGCACCAAUUGCUACAAUGGUCCUAAUGGUGGUGAAUUUGGCAACGGGUGCAUAAGUCUCAUUAAAAUCAAUUCCAACAACUUGUGAAUAUCCUUUAGCAAUUAGUCUUGCCUUGUGCCUCACCAUCACAUCCAUUGCAUCUCUUUUAGUCCUAAACAUCCACUUACAACCAACACUAGAUCGAUUUGUUGGAAGAGGUACCAAUUUCCAUGUACCAUUGUCCAUAAGAAAUUGGUAUUCUUCUUCCAUAGCCUUCUCCCACUUGAUUGCAUCUUCACACUUCAUAGCAUCAUACAAAGACAAUGGAUCAACAAGAAGAACAACAUUUGCAUGUUCUUCACUUACUUGAGGGAAGAUGUGAUCCUUCUACCAUUCGCCACGUCGCCUUCUUUCUCUCAAAAGAUAUCUCCUUUCACUUAUAGAAGAAUAUUCACCUUGUUGCACUCUAUGUUCUUUUUCAACCUUCUUCUCUCUUAAACCUUGUCGUUUCUCACUCAAUGGUUGAUACUCUUUAUCAUUAUCAUCAUUCCAAUCUCCAACAUCUUCAUUUCUUUCAUUGUUGGUCUUAGCAAUUGUAGGAGCCUUCAUCUUUUCAACCUUCUUUGGCUUUUCAUCUUCAUCAUCUUCAUUAUCUUCAUCUUCUUGUUUUUUUGCUGAAUUCAAAGAUGUAUCCACAAACACACCAUUACUCCCACUUGGACACAUCUCCAAGUGCUCACAAGCACUCUUAUGCUCCAAAAACUUAGCAUCACAACUAUUGGUGAUCUUCUUGGUUUCCAAGCACAUUAGCCUAUAUGCCUUAGUACCUUCACAACAAUCAAGAAAUAUACACUUUGUACCUUUUGCAUCAAGUUUGGACCUCAUACAAUCUAGUAUUUUUUUAUAUGCAAUGCACCCAAAGGUCCUGAUAUGGAAAAUGCAAAGUUGUCUCUCACUCCAAGCUUCUUGUGGUGUCAUUGAUGCAAGAGCAAUUGUUGGACACGUAUUUCAUGUGUACAUUGGAUUCACGACAACUUUCAUCCAAGAGUCAUAGCCAAGUUUUGGACGAAAGCUUAAUCCAAGAGUCAAAACCUUAGCUAUAAGUUUUGGACGAAAGCUAUGGUGAAUGCAAUGUACACAAGAAAUAGAUAUCCAACAAUUGCCCUUGCAUCAAUGACACCACAAGAAGCUUGGAGUGAGAGACAACUUUGCAUUUCUCAUAUCAGGACCUUUGGGUGCAUUGCAUAUAAAAAAAUACUAGAUUGUAUGAGGUCCAAACUUGAUGCAAAAGGUACAAAGUGUAUAUUUCUUGAUUGUUGUGAAGGUACUAAGGCAUAUAGGCUAAUGUGCUUGGAAACCAAGAAGAUCACCAAUAGUUGUGAUGCUAAGUUUUUGGAGCAUAAGAGUGCUUGUGAGCACUUGGAGAUGUGUCCAAGUGGGAGUAAUGGUGUGUUUGUGGAUACAUCUUUGAAUUCAGCAAAAAAACAAGAAGAUGAAGAUAAUGAAGAUGAUGAAGAUGAAAAGCCAAAGAAGGUUGAAAAGAUGAAGGCUCCUACAAUUGCUAAGACCAACAAUGAAAGAAAUGAAGAUGUUGGAGAUUGGAAUGAUGAUAAUGAUAAAGAGUAUCAACCAUUGAGUGAGAAACGACAAGGUUUAAGAGAGAAGAAGGUUGAAAAAGAACAUAGAGUGCAACAAGGUGAAUAUUCUUCUAUAAGUGAAAGGAGAUAUCUUUUGAGAGAAAGAAGGCGACGUGGCGAAUGGUAGAAGGAUCACAUCUUCCCUCAAGUAAGUGAAGAACAUGCAAAUGUUGUUCUUCUUGUUGAUCCAUUGUCUUUGUGUGAUGCUAUGAAGUGUGAAGAUGCAAUCAAGUGGGAGAAGGCUAUGGAAGAAGAAUACCAAUUUCUUAUGGACAAUGGUACAUGGAAAUUGGUACCUCUUCCAACAAAUCGAUCUAGUGUUGGUUGUAAGUGGAUGUUUAGGACUAAAAGAGAUGCAAUGGAUGUGAUGGUGAGGCACAAGGCAAGACUAAUUGCUAAAGGAUAUUCACAAGUUGUUGGAAUUGAUUUUAAUGAGACUUAUGCACCCGUUGCCAAAUUCACCACCAUUAGGACCAUUGUAGCAAUUGGUGCAGCAAUGGAUUUGGAAAUACACCAAAUGGAUGUAAAGACGGCCUUUUUGAAUGGAGAAUUAUAAGAAGACAUCUACAUGGACCAACCUCAAGAAUUUAUACAAAAAAGCAAAGAACAUCUUGUGUGCAAAUUGAAGAAAUCCUUAUAUGGAUUGAAACAAUCACCAAGGGUAUGGUACCAACAAAUUGACACCUUUUUUUUUUUUUUUUUUAUCAAUGAAGGGUUUGUGAGGAAUGAGGCUGAUCAUUCAUUGUAUGUGAUGCAAACUAGAGAGUUUUUGCUGACUUUAAUCCUUUAUGUUGAUGAUUUGAUCAUCUUGGCUAACAAUAUGGAAAAGAUGGAUUGGAUGAAGGCCAAAUUAGAGAAGGAAUAUGAGAUGAGUGAUUUGGAAGAAUUGCACUACUGCUUGGGAGUGGAAUUUGUAAGAGAUCGUGGUAACAAGACCAUUACAAUGAGCCAAAUCAAGUACAUUGAAGAAGUGUUGAAACGAUUCAACAUGGAGGAGUGCAAGCCCAUUGGAACACCCUUGGAGGCAAAUUUGAAGUUGAUGAAGCUCACGGAUGAGGAAUUUGUAGAAGUUGAAGGUGAGAUACAAAGUGUUCCAUACAAAGUAGCAGUAGGCUCACUCAUGUAUGCAAUGGUGGCCACAAGAGUGGAUCUUGCAUAUGCGAUAAGUGUUGUAAGCCAACACAUGUCUAAAGCUAGUCCAAUGCAUUGGACAAUAGUAAAAAGGAUAUUGAGGUACUUAAAAGUACAAAAGACUUCAAAUUUUGCCUUGGUGGUAAGAACAUUGAUUUGCAAGGUUAUUGUGAUGCGGAUUGGACUGGAGAUGCAAAUGAUAGAAGAUCCACAAUGGGAUAUGUCUUCUUCAUUGGAGUGGGAGUCAUUUCAUGGAAUUACAAGAGACAAUCUACCAUUGCAAGAUCAACGAUGGAAGCAGAGUACAUGGCAGCAAGUCAUUGUGCAAUGGAAGCGUGUUGGAUAAGGCAAUUCUUAGAAGACAUUGGUCUAGUGCAAUUAGAAGCAAUUCUAAUUAUGUGUGACAAUCAAAGAUAUCUUGCAUUUGCCAAGAAUCCAAAACACCACUCAAGGACCAAACACAUUGAUAUUCAACAUCAUUUCAUAUGAGAGAUGAUUCAAGAUGGAAUAAUAGGUAUGAAGUAUUUUGCUACAAAUGACAUGCUUGUUGAUGUGCUUACAAAGGCAUUAGUGAAAAAUAGACAUCAUCACUUGAUUCAGAGAUUAGGAUUAAAAACCUUUUGAAAAUUAGUAAAGUGGGAGUGUUGAAGAUCAACAAGUUCUUACUUAGUUACCACCACAUAAAGAUUAAGCAUAAUAAGUUGCUAAUAGUCAAAAGGCACCCAAGGAUUAAAAGAAGUUACUAUGGUGACAGUUAGGGUUUUAAGGUGGCAAUUAGGUUAAGAUGAAUCUAGAUCUAGUUAAAAGGAUGAAGGUGACUCUAGAUGAAGUCUAUGUACUUGGGAUGUAAACUCCAUCUAUAAGUAAAAGGUGUUGGAAGUAAGAGAUAACUUUCUCCACACUUCUCUUAGAAUACAAUCCUUGCUGAUGCUAAGUGUUUGUAGCUUUUAGACUUCUUUUCUUCAAUAAAGAAUUCUAGGUAGAAUAUUUAUAAUUAUUUCUUUUGUAAUUAUCUUUAUGGGUGCGUGAGGAAGCCCCUACAAUUGAGAUGGCUUCUAUUACCAUAUGGAUCUUAUGACCACUCAAAGUAUUGCAAGUUAUUACAAAGUGAUACAACAAACCACCAAUUCAAUUGCCUCUCCACUAUAGCCAACACAAGAAACAAAUAGACCCAAUGUAACCUCUAGGGGGACAAAAACACUACUACUUGGAAUAAAUUUUUUGCUUUUCUCAUGUUGUUGUCGAAAAGAAUAGAACAUGGAUUUUUAGUUUUUCUCUUUGACCUUGCUUGUAGAUUUUGUUGUGGGAGGCUUUAUAAUGUAACUUUGUAACUUUGUGUAGUAGUUUAUUUUGAUAAGCAUAUCUUAAGAAUGAGGUUGUGUUGAUGGUCAAAAAGAUCAUUUUGUUUGCUGACUCACUAGCAACAUGUGUUUAUAUCAACAAUUGGGGAUAUUGCAUCAGUGGUGUAUUUAGAUUGUCCAUUUAGGUUGUUCAUUUAUUUGCUUGUGCAAAUGAUAUGAACUUGAAACUAAUAAAUCCUUAAAAUGGCAGAUAUACAAGAAACAAUGAAAAAACAGCUAAUUCAGUGAAAGAGUGAAUAAUAUAAUCGCUACAAGAAUUCGCAAGGGUGCAACAGUCUACAUUCGCUAGCAAAAUAAUCCAGAAAAAAAAACACGGUAACAAAUAGGAUGAAAUCUCAUUAGCUAUCUACUUUGGGAAAUUAGUAUUCUAACCAAGCUGCGUAAAAAACUAGAACCAAAACCGAAAUGCAUCCACCGGAGUCCCACUCCAACAACCAUGCCCGACUACAAUUAACGUGGCCUUGUGAAUUACUCAAAUACUCGUGUGACUGUGGCAUACAACCAAGCUGCACAACAAACUCUCAGUGCUCUUUCAUCACACCAUGAAUGCGGUUUCACACCAAUGCGGUUUUCAACCUGCAUUGCGGACCGCCACUUCUCUCCUACAUUCGUCUUUUAGCUUUCAAUCGUGACAAACCUAUCCUGCAAACCAAGGACUACCUCACCCAAAAAAAAAGGAAAAAAGAAAACAUUUUAAAAAAGAAAGAUUAAAAAGAAAGAAUCCUCCAAUGGCAUGCACUUUUCAAAUUUACUUCACACCAACUCGACCCCCUCGUGUGCUACCCCGCUUCUUCCACCUCAUCCCAACCUCUUACGACAGUGCCACCACCGUGUUGCUCUCCGCCUGAUGAUGCUCCAGGUUUCGAAGAACCACUCGGGCGAACACUUUGGCCUGCAUUGCUGCCGUCGCUGCUGCAGCCACAGUCCGCAGAACCCGACUCGCACCAACCUUCUGCAGCAGAACUGCGUGGUGCAGCGCAUGCCUGCCUCCAGGCAUCGUGAACUGUGACACGCAACCACAUCCCAAUCCAUCACGCCAAAACCAACCUCCAACCUCGCUCCAACACUUCCUCUCUCUCACGCACAUCACUCCACCGGCGAAUCAAUAACAACCCUACCAUCACACCCACCUCGCGUCCCUCACCACCGCUUUGUCCUCUUCAUGCUCACUCACACUGCUUACCUGCAGAAGAGCGAAUGCCGCACACGAUCGCAAAACUGCAUGUCCGUUCCUCAACAUGGCCACAAACCGCCCGAGCUCGGCUACACUGCAACCAACCCACCCGCACGCUCUUAGCCUCGUCCAUACAAACAACACUCCACGCACCGCACUCCACACCGCCCUUCACUAUCCGCUACCUCAUCACCGCCACUGUCCCAUCACCCCGACCGCCUGUCAUGCCCACACCCACUCGCGUCCAUUCCUUACCACGCGCCCACGUUGCUUCCGCUGCCCAUGCAUCCAAAUCCGUUGCAUCUAAUUCUGUACCAUCCACACAUUCACGCCCUACGUACGCAUCGCCUACCUGCAUCUCAGAUGCCCGGCUUCUUGGAUUGUGGCGGUCUCCGCGACCUGGUUCAACGUCGCACCGGCCCACGAUGACGCAGCAGCUGUCAAAGACUGCGGAUCAAAAAACGUUUGCACGAACGCAUCGAUGUUUCGCAACGCCAGUUUCCUUGCUGCCUCCAAGCUCACUGUCCUCCCGUUGUUCUCCACACUCGACAAUCCAACUGCAACCUCAUCCAUCCUGCGUCAGAGGAGCCCAACUAUGACGUCAACCACUCCGAUCACGUUCACUCUCCAUCACUCCCACUCACUGCUUUGCCACACCCACUCAACCGCUCCAAACGCCGCCCAACCACUUCAAAUCAUGCACACAAACGCGCGCUCCUACGCACCUCAACCCCCUCCACUUCUCACCCCCGCCCCAACCUCGUCCCAACAACGCAACAGCAAUCUCCUCAUUCCUAACCGCGCCCUUCUUCCAUAUCUUCCGGUUCUCCAAAACCACGUCACCCACUCCCCACUGCUCCACUUCACCCGACUCUCCCUCACCGCACCUAUCCAACGCCUACGAACUUCCUCCUCCCCGUCUCACGUCAUCUCACCACCCCCACGUCCUACGACCGCACCCUCACACACCCACACGCCACCGCUUUACCUGCCAUCGAACAUGUACGCCAGAGCCAGAGCUGCCAUAAACCGCGCCAUCUUAGAUCUCGACGACGAGCACAAAUGCACCAGCGCCGGGACUCCCUCCUCUUCCACCAUCCGCAGUGCGUUGCCAGGAUUGAAAACCAGGUUCCACAACGCUCCCACCGCUGUUUCAUGUACGUCCUGCACUCCCAUCGCCGGAAACUUCAGAAACCCACCUCCUAAACGCCCAUCAUCGUCCCACCACACCGAUACCACCACCAAUGCCCCGCCACGUACAACCAUCUCCCAACCAUGGCUCCACACCACGCCCCCUUUCCAUUUCCACUACACCCCAUUCCUCCCACUCACCCAUGCAUCCAGCUCUCGCCUCCCUGCACUUUGCACUUUGUAUGCCACCACCACCCAGCCUCCACCAUCACACCCCAACCACUCGCGUCUAACCGUGUCACUCACAUGACAUGCACGCUGCGCUAACCAAACCCAAAACCUCGUCCCCCAAAACCCUGCAACUCAUCCCACAACUCACCUCAAAAUCAGAGUGCGCCAGGGUGAUCAGUGGAGCCACUCCGCCUUCGCGCCCGAUAGCAAUGCUGCGCCACCACGCAAGUUCCCAACACACACACACACACACACACACACGUCAGACACACGGUCAUCGCACCACACCCCGUCACCCACCUCCAACCUCUGCUACGCAACCAAAAUCCCCAUAAUCGCCAAAUCCAACCCAUCGACUCUCACUCCGCGCAAUACUUCACACAAUCCGCUCCAUCCCCGACGACUCUACCCCUGCGACCUUCAACCCACGCCCAACGCUUCCGCCAACAACACCACCUCCCAUCGCGCUCAAUGCCCUCACCUGUUCGCCUCCGACACAGACAGCCCCCAUAAUGCACCCGCAGCCCUCUCUUGCAGACCUUGAGAUCCGCUGCUACACCCUUGAGCCAAAGCCACCUGCACAACCACCACACCAUCGUCAUGCACCCAAUGCCACCCCCACUCUGCUCCACACCACACCACCGUGCGCCCUUGCCUCAACACAGCCUGUUCACGCCUCGCAAAACCUCGCACAACUCGCCACACGACUGCCCCCCAACCCGAUCUCAACAUCAACGCACCCCGAUCCUACCCUCCACAACCACCCCACGCUCAACUGUCAUGCAGCCCCCCAUCACUCUACAUGUCCGCACUAAGCCUGCAUCCUUCAUCUUCACCUCCAGCUCUGCUCAACCCCCCGGCCACGCUCUCGAAUCACCCCCAUUCACCUCUGCCCCCAGAACGCCCCUUUCGUAUCUCUUCCUACGCCCACGGUUCGUGUCCACUCUCACUCACCAGUGCCUCCACGCCACCAGCCGCUGCAAUAGCUUCUCGGUUUCUGUCGUCGAACGACAGAUUCCACAAUGCUCCCGCUGCUUCUUGUCUGCAAGCGCCGUCCAAGGGGACGCCCAAAACACUCUUAGAACACCGGCCCAUCUCUACCCUCAACCCUUCACAUCACCCCUGCACAACAAAAACACCUCCCUGCUGUCCACCACCCCAACAAAUCCGCAUACCUGACACCUUCAUGAUUUGAGCAAGUCAGCUGCACCAGAGCUUCCAGCGCGCCUUCCUCCCGCCCUACAGCAGCGUUGUUACCGUUGCUGUCUCCAUGAGCCGCAAGAUUCGCCAACGCGCGUGCUGCCUAUCAAACACAGUUCCAAAACACCAGUCACACCUCGCAACUCGUCACCUCCUCUCCCAUUCCGCAUGCUCUUCGCCAACGCUGCACCUAAAACCGGCUCCACCGAUCGUGCAAACACUCCACUCACGCCCCAAACGCCUCCAGGACCCACACAAUGCACUCUCCACUUACGCGCAACCCUCACUAUCGUCACGCCCUCAUUAAUCCUCAAUGCUAAUCACGCUAACCAAAUCCAUCCCCACGCAACACCUUCACCGCAACGCCACUGUCUCAAUCACUUCUUCUCUGCCAACUCAACCAUGUCCUGCACCACUUAACCUCGCAAACCUCCAACCCCUCCUUCCACUCUGCGCCCCUGCCACUCAUUCCAAACCCCAUGUGUGUGUUUCUCACUCCGCUACCCCCUCAUCACGACCCAACCUCAGCCUUCCAAACCCCAUCCCCCUUUACCAACCGCUGCUCUCAGCUUCCCGUUGCCUCGUACCUGCUCUUGCACGCCUUCGUGGUUACAAAACCGCGCCAGCCUCACCAGAGCCCGCACACCCCCCGCCACUGCGACUUCCAUGCUGCACUUGUCAUCGGCUGCUAGGUUGGCCAACGCACCUGCUGCUCUCUCCUGCUAUCCGGAAACAAAAUGCUCAACGUCAAUCCCAACCGCAUCCCAACCCCGCUUCCGCUUUCGCCGCUGCACUCUCUCAUCUACAUGCUCAUCACAACCCACCCUCAAACCAACACCAAUGCCCACCACCAGCCUUUCCAACACACCUCGCACCACCCCAUGCCACACACCAAACGUAGUAGCCUCACGCAUCCCUUCUUCCUCUCGCCGCACCACACCAUUCAUUUCCAACAAGAUCCCAACACCCAAAUGCCAACCAUCACAGCAACCACCCGUCAACCACUCCCAACGUCAAACCUAGCUGUGCGGAUCAUGCCACAACACUAAAGCUACUGGGCGAUGCACGUGCUCACCAGGACACCCUCCCCUCCGGCGGGCCACUUGAAUGCCAAUCCCACCAGUGCUUCGAUUGCGCCUGCGCCAGCUAUCGCACCCUGUUUGCAUUCACGCCCUCAUUUGUCAGUGCGCUACCAUGACCAUUACCAUGACAACCAACCCGACCAUCCAUCUCCCACCCCCUAACCCCUGGCUCCUCACUACACUCUCCACCCUCCGCUUUCCUCACCGACUCGCACAAACACGUUCCUCUUUUCCAACUCUACACUGUUCCCAACCUCAACAUCCGUGCCGCGCCCUGUCCCUUCCACAACCCCGACCUCCCACACCACCUGCCUUCCUCACCCCUCGCUCUACAAUGUCCACACCGACGCGCUCACACCACCAAUUCGCAGCAAAACACUUCAUCGCAAUUGCCAACCACAGCGCCUCACCUUGUGCUCCUCUCCCACCGACAGAUUCCAUAAACCCCCCGCCGCCUCCUCAGCAACCCACCGGUUCCGGGACCUCGCCAAACCAGCCAGGAUACUGAUGCCCCCUUCCAAAGCAACCCUUUUCGCAACCUCCGUGUUCACGGACAAAUUUGCGAUGGCCUGCACCAACCAACCCAACAGCUACCAGUCAGUCCAACUCCCCACAGCUUCUGCACCCCACACGCACUGUGCCCGCAUGCGACCCACACUCCCACAAACAUCAACCCAUUCCGCAAAUACCACCAUCGUCGUCCACCUGCUCUCCCCCGACCCUGCUCCACCCCACGCUCCACAACUCACGCAAUACCCCCGCUACCCUACAAUCCUUCCUGCGCACACGCCUGCCUUGUGCACACUCACACUCCACUACAUUCCCCACCAACCCCCCUACCUUCGCAGCUUCCGACUGCACCCCCUCGCGGCAAGACUUCGCCAGCCCCAACAGCAGCGCGAUCCCGCCCCCGUUCAUCACAGCUUCCGCCCGCGCAGAAUCUACAGUCGCGUUCUCGUCGUCCACCACUACAAACGUCGCCAAAGCCGACGCAGCCCUCUCCUGUACAUCCUCCUGCGCGCUUUGAACCAGUCGAAGCAUCAUCGCGAUCCCCUGCUUCAGCAGACUCGGUGCAUUGCACUCCGCGAUCUUCAAAACCGCAUGCGACAACAUCCACUCCGUCCACUUCGCCACUUCCGAAUCCGCGCGCGCGCGCCCGCCGCACCUCGACCUCGCGCACGAGCCUGCCUCCUCCUUCCAAUUGCUCGGGCUCAGCAAAGCAUCCAACCCUUCCAUCACAUCCGUGAACCGAGCCAGCACCACCGUCUUCUUCGACGACGGCAGUGUCACGGGGUUGCUGCCCUCCUCCAGAACAGGGCAGUUCAGAGCGCAAACCACCCUCAGCUCGGGCCCUGCCAGGACCUGCAUCAGCGCAGUCGGAGUGAUAUCUGUCCGCGAAACAUCCAGCCCUGCCAGGUUCGGCAAUUUGCUCCACCAAUGCGCCGCCGUGCUCCACACUAUACACCUGCAUCCCGCUACCGACAAAAAUCGCAGGCUGCUCGCACCCCCGAACGCCCCUUCGUCGAUGGUGUGACUGUCCAGGAACCCCAGCUCCGUCAGACCCUUGCAAUGCUGGAACAACGCCUGGAUGGCGUCUCUCUCCACUUUUAGGACGCCCGACACGCACAGCCGUCGCAAUUUCGGACAACACACUGCAAUCACCUUCAAUGCCUCGCUCGUCACUCUCUCGCAAUCCGAACCCAGCAGCAAGCUCUCCAGGUUCGCAUGCCGGGCGACCACCAUGGACAGGGUUGCAUCCGACAGCUGGCUGCAGCAAUCGCCGCUCAGCUCCCUAAGCCCCUUCGCCUGCAACCCCACAAUUGAGCUCGCAGAGGCACCUCUGCGGAACUUCAGCGCCUCCAAAUUCGAGCAUCGUCCUGCCAGCGCAGACACCAUCUCCGAAUUCAACGAGUGCGACCGAAGAUCCAGCGAAUUCCACAGCGAUGGCGAGCUCCCCAGCACCUGCCAUCCCUUGCACACGGACGCAAGGCUCGCCCUGUCCCUGUGGUUCAGCAGAUUAAACAACCCAAGCACGGUUUCAUCUGGAAGACUUGUCCAAUGCGCAUCGCGACCCGCGUCACUUUCAACACCUGAUUCUGUAGCCGGCACCGCCGGUGCACCACAAGUGGACGCCGCCGACGAUGUCGGCGACGAUGUUAUCCUGGCUUUCUUAUAUACAACAGCCUGCUGCUGCUCCUGAUCGUCCACCGCCACAUUGACAUUGCGCCGCCGCUUGUUGGACAUGUCAUCAGCUGCUCCUCCGAUGAUCUGUGUCAUUUGCAUGCGCACCGCGCAUGCACCAUCUUCGUGCCGUCACUGCUUCGUCAUCACCCACACAAAUUGCCGCUUCAACCUCUCUUAGGGUUGCCAACUCCCAAUAUCCGCGCCGAUUAUUCCUUCCACUCCGCGCACUCUGCAAUUCCUCCGUCCUCGCCCAUCAGAACGUCACCCGCUCCUGCACGCAAUCAAAGGUCACAUCCCCCGCUUCGUGUUCUACCUAUCCUCAAGCAUUGCAUCACGCGGCCCAAAUCGAAUAUAUUCUUGCUGCAUAACCCUGCACCGAUCUACACCUCCCCUCUUCCUCGAAAGAAACCAUCCCCUGGCGGCAUCACCCACAAUCAUCCUUGAAUACUAAGCAGCCACCACCGAAACCAGCCUCAAACCCCAAACUGCGGCAUCAUUCUUCACUUCCAACCGAAAAGACGCGGGCAAGCAGCAUGGCAUCGAAGAGGGAAGAGAGCAGAUGAGAAGAAACGGAAGAGCGGAAGCAGGAAGUAGAGAGAGAAAGAGAAAGAAAAAGAGGGGGUGUGGCGAGAAGGGAGGAAGCGCUAAGGAUUGCGGGAUAGACACGGGAGGGGGAGGGGGAAGGGCAGGCGUAGCGACGACGAGUGAGAGCGAGAGCGAGAACAAGAGCAAGAGAGCGUGGGACACGAAUGAGAAACAGCAGACAGAGUGAGUGAGUGAGUGAGUGAGUGAGGGAGCGAGCGAGUGGGGUUGAGUUUUUCCUGCAGAGAGAGUCUGUUCCAUUCUUCAUGGAGGAGGAAAGAAGCUUUGGUUUUCAUGUGGCAGCUUCCUCUUCCUUCCUUCCUUAGGGAGUCCACGACCACCCCCCCCCGCCGCUCUUCUUCUUCUGCGUCCUCCUUCUCGUCGUCGUCGUCAUCCCUGUGUCGCCUUCGUCGCCUCUUCCUCGCUGCUCGCUGUUUUUGUGUUCCCCUGCGUUGACCGAUGACCGCCUGCCCUUCUCGCCCAGAAAGGCACCCUAUAAUUGGCGCCCUUUAUAUUUCUCUUCUUCUUUUUCUUUUCUUUUCUUUCCUUUCCCUUUCUUCUGUUUAUUUCCUUUCUUUGCCCCGUCUGGAAUCUGGAAUCAAUGCCACCACCGCGGAAUAUGGAAUCUGUGCCCACUUCAACACACCCACCACCCCUCAAGGCUGAUUACCCCAUUUGCUUCCCUUCCAAAUCUGUGUGCAUGCCUUGUCCACCUCAUGCUCACAAGCCAAUCAGAACUCGUCUGUGUUUGUGUGUUGCAAUCGUUUGCUUCACCCCCUUCCACCUCUGCUCUUUGUGCGUUUUGGUUUACAUCGGUGGUUUUUCAGUAAAUUGUCUCUGUUUUGUGCACGUUGUGCCCACGAUAUGGGUUCGUAUCUUUUGAUGGGAACAAAGGAUUUGACGAGUGCAAGUCCGAGAGUACGGGCAGGGAGGAACUGAAAAUUGCACUGAACUGUAUAAGAAUACAUGCGUGGCUGAGAUGCACGGAGUCGUGUUCGUAAUUCUCAGUAGUUGCGACACUCGAGAGGGAUGUUUAACAUGUUCUCUGUGGGAUUUAUUUUUAUGCAUAUGCAUGAUUUAUAUUUAUUUUUAUGCAUAUGUUGUUGGACUUAUUUUGAUAAAUUCGAGAAAUUAAAGUAGUAUAAUUCUUAAUGUUCUCGGCUGUCACAAGCUGGUAAUAGUACUCUCUUUUAGAAGGCAUUUAUCUCAGGGAAGCUGUUGUUGUUGUUGGAGUUGACUUCGCCCUUGAACGGCGUCUGGUAAGAACGGAAAUGAAGCUCUGAUGACGAACAAGAAAGUUGUUCUCUCGGUUUCGUUGACCAUGUUGGACCGUCGUUCGUCGCGAUGAGGCAGUGCCAGAACCCAAAAUUUGAUGGACUUCGCUCGGAAAGUUCUCUGUAGUGAAUUGCACUCUCCUACUUUUUCACGUUGUACCUGCGCCAGGAACUUUUUCGCCGUAAACUCGCCAGUGCUUGUUGGGACCGCGAGCACGCACAAUGCUUCAUUCUGUGUGAGAAUGCUGGAGCUUUUCAAAGCAGUUGUUUUACAAAAUUGGGUCAGGUGGACUUUAUUCUCUGGGAUUAACAUCAAUCACGAAAGCGAGAGGGAGGAAGAUCGAGAUGGGGAGAGAGAUCGGUAGUUCAAAAGGCCUUUGCUCUCCAGGUUCGCAUGCCGGGCGACCACCAUGGACAGGGUUGCAUCCGACAGCUGGCUGCAGCAAUCGCCGCUCAUUUCCCUAAGCCCCUUCGCCUGCAACCCCACAAUUGAGCUCGCAAAGGCACCUCUGCGGAACUUCAGCGCCUCCAAAUUCGAGCAUCGUCCUGCCAGCGCAGACACCAUCUCCGAAUUCAACGUGUGCAACCGAAGAUCCGACGAAUUCCACAGCGACUGCGAGCUCCCCAGCACCUGCCAUCCCUUUCACACGGACGCAAGGCUCGCCAUGUCCCUGUGGUUCAGCAGAUUAAACAACCCAAGCACGGUUUCAUCUGGCAGACUUGUCCAAUGGGCAUCGCGACCCGCGCCAAUUUUAACACCUGAUUCUAUAGGGGGCACCGCCGAUGCACCACAAGCGGACGUCGGCGACGAUGUUAUCCUGGCUUUCUUAUAGACAACAGUCUGCUGCUGCUCCUGAUCGUCCACCGCCACAUUGACUUCGCGCCGCCGCUUGUUGGAUAUUUCAUGUGCUGUCCCUCCCAUUAAUUGAUUAUACUACAUACUUUCCAAACUUGUUCCAGAAGUUGAGAAGCAAAAUCGUUGAAUAUUUUUCAGUGGUACUGGUUUUAUAAUGACCUCAUGUUUCUUGUCCCAUGAUCAAUCUGACUGUUGCCUCUAGUUGAUCGCUCCAAUCCAGAUAUCACUUUGAAUCCACUAUCCUGCGCCCCCUCAUAUCUAUGCCCCAACUUCUUUGUUUCGGAUCUUCGCAAACUUCGAGAUGAGCCGUUGUGGUGUCGUUUUCUCCUCUCACUUCUCCGUUUUGAACUAUCGUGUGGCUAGUUUGAAAUUUCGUGUUGAAGAAACGGGAUAUCCAUCUGCGUAUUACUUUGACCGGGCACUCUGAAGCAUUUGUCCUACGUUGCAGAGAGACGCCGAAUUCAGCCAGCAAUAUCUUCGGCAACGCGUCACAGGUCAGGAGGACACUUUGAGUACGGAAAUUUGAAGUAGUCAACGGGAAGAAAAUUGGCAUCCAUACUGCCCAAAUGAAGGUGUGUGGGGAGAGAAUUACGAGUAGGGGUAGUGGGAGAAAGAGAAAAAGCUUUGCGGACGGAUUCAGCGUUUCCAAAUGACGAGCCUAACCGAGCGAGAUUGCUAGGGCAUGGUCUGUCCGAAUGCUCACUAACAAGUUCACUCGGCGUGUAACCGCUAAUUCCAGUGUCGACGGAGACCUAACGGCACAAAUUCGAAUCUACCCACUUGCUUCCCCAGACUUUUCAGCACCAACUGUCUCUGCGGAGUUGAAAAGCCCUCAACCACGAAAACAUCACUCAGGCCACAAGACAUUUGGAUCAAGCCUUCCACUGUCAAACACUCGUUCCGACCGGAGCCAGUCGUCGUGAUCGUUCAAACUCUCGUCUCUACUCUCUCCCGAACACAUCACACCAGCUCUCAAGCUCAAGAAUCAGGGUGACAAAUUUCCCGUAUUGGAAUCUCCGGAACCUGGAAACUGCAAUCCAAUCUCUGACACCCACCGCUACGCACCCACUAACGUCCCGGCGGCUAUCGCCUACAGUCCGUUCAGUUUUGAGUGACUAAAAGUUUUCACUGCAGUAGCGGCGUGGUGGUGGAAACAGGUGAGCUAAGUAAGCUAGAGGUUAAUAACACAAAGAGCGUUGCGGCAAGCCGGUGUGCUUAGUGUGUACAGUCCGUUUUGGUUUGGGUAAGAUGUUGCAGUACCUGGACUUGGUCACUCUUUGUGCGUGAUUUGCACCUCAGUUUGUCGGGGGGCAGAGCCACAACGGUGAGAGCUAGAAAUCAUUUCACUGCUUUGCUUCUCCUGAUGCUAUUCUAGGAUUAUGAGCUCUGUAAGCUUUAAUACCGAUGAUAGGUCCGUUUGGUGGUUUGUGAGGAGGUAGUGUUUGUCGAUGGUGUCUGCUGCGGCUGGAAGAGUGCAGAUGUGGCUCAGCGAAAGUGGCGUGGAUGGGUCCUGUGUGUUUUUGUUUUUAUUGUAUUUUUUGUUUUUGUUUUUGGAGUUUUUUUUAUUUUUUAUUAUUUUAUUUUUCUCGUUCAUGUGAACAUCAGUGAUGGUGUCCUUGCAAUGUUUGUCAUGCGUUUUAUUGUUGUGGUGUGAGUGGUACCCCGCUGGUCUAUAAAUAAAGGCUGUGGACAUGGAGUCUUCUGUACACUGGUUUGUACUGAGAACUGCUUCUGAGCUGUUUCCAAACACUGUUAAGUAUCAUACACUCACAUAGGUAUUCCAUGUGUGUGUAUAUAUAUAUAUAUAUACAUAAACAUUUAAGGGAAUGUUAAAUAGACCUAAGUUUUUACUAAAUCAACUUACCCAUCCUAACCAUUAUGAAAAUAAAAAAUGACCUCUGGAUUCAUUUCUCCACUAUUGGAACUACAACAAAUAAAAAACCAACUAUAUUCAUCAUGAUUACCAUAUCUUUCAUCAAAGGUGAGUCUAUUUAAUAAAAGUAUGGUUCUAUUUAACGUUCCCCAUAUGUAUAUGUAUUAUAUGUAUGAAUGCAUAAUACAAAAGUAAGUUAUUUACAAUCACAAUGGUACUUGGUUCAACAGUAAAUUUGAACACGAAUACAUUUUUGAUUUUUUCUCAUCUUGAGUAAAUAUAAGCAAGUCAAUAUUUAUAUCACAUGACACAUAUUUCCAAUUAUUAAUUUUUUCAAAACUAUAAAUAAAACUUCAUGAUUUUGUUGAAGUCCUCUCAUAUUUGAUUUCUUCAUAAAUCUUGAAAGUUUCUAUUCAAUUACCCAAGUUCACAUACAAGAGUUUUUUUGAGCUUGUACAAACAUUCGCAGUUGCAUUAAAGCAGCUAAGCUUGUUUGGAUUGAUAUGUACACUUCUAAGUACUCUUGCGACUCCAACCACAUGGUUAUUUUGAUUUUUUAUUUGAUUCUUGACGUCUUUAGGUUUCCAUAUUUCUCUCAAUGAGUAGCAUUCAUGUGCUAGCACUUUAUCCUUAACUCUCUGUGUAAUGUGCAAUAUGUGUCUUCAACCUCAAUGCACACAUUAAAACCAAAUAAAUGAACCAAAUAUAUUGUCUUGGUAUCAGAUUAUUUUCAUUUUAAAUUCAAUUUAAAAUGAAAUUCAUUUUCGAAUUAUAUGAUUCGGACCUUUGUUCCAAAUCUAAGCAUGUGAAUAUUUAAUAAAUAUUCUACAGCAAGCUUUAAUUUAAGCGUUUUAAGAAAAUAAGAAAAUAAGAAACAGACGUGCAAAAUAAAUACAAAUAAACAGAAGAGGAGAAAAUAAAGGAAAUAAAGUCUUCUAUUUGCAGAAUAUUUUUUUUUGCAUAAAUAUUUAUUAUAACUUUAUAAAUUUGUAUUCAUAUCUUAUAUCAUUUGUGGUUUUUCAAAGUGAAAAUCAAUAAUUUUUGAUCUGUUUUAUUUUGUUUGUUUUUGUUUUUUGUGUUUUGUGUUUUUUAUUUUUUCAGAUUUGAAAGUACUUCUUCCUUUAAGACCCAAUCGAAUAACAUCAAAGAAACUAAAUGCAAUAAAUAAAUAAAUAAAAAUCAGCAAUGUUGAUCAUCAAUCAUUUCAAUUGUAAUGUAAUGUGACAUCAAUAUCAAGAUAGAGAAAUUUCGCAUAAGUAGAAUUCAAAAAGGAAUUUACAAUCCCAAGAAAGUUUCGAGAAGCUUUCAAAUUAAAUAAAUUGCAAUAACAAUGUUCAUGGUUUAUCUUUAAAAAGAAACAAGUGUUUUUGUUUUUUAUUUUAUUUUCUUUUCCAAAAUUCAUUGUUUCUAUUCUUUAGUAGAAAAUGAACCAUUUCAAUCCAAUAAAAAAGACAUCAAAUUCGUCCAUUGUCUCCAUGUCUUCCUUCUAUCCGUUCUUUCUUUGAUUGUUUGGUUCUUUCUUUUGUUCAACAUCAAUUUGGGUUGUCUCAAUAAAAUGGCAGAACUUUUGUUUCAUCUUUCGUACAUGUUCUCAGAUCAAAGAAAAACUUUCAUCGCUGUAGAAGCCAGAACACGGAGGAGAUGCACAAGACUGCACUACACAUAAACCACAAGACGAUAAGUCUGAUCCGCCAGAUUGUGCUCGCCAUGAUCUUCACGCUGCUCAAAUCAACACAAAAAACUGCAGAUCAUCCUCAAAAACAGAACUGUCGCGACGCAAAGGUUGUGCACACAAUGCCUCGGAACUCGAUCUCGAAAGAGGCAUUGCCUCCAAACGCAUCCAAAUGCAAUGCGAGUGGGUCGUGAGUGUUCAGUGGAUAUGGCGAUUCUUCAUGCUCACUAACCAAUUGCCUCGUUGGAAGCCUCUGCUGAAGGCCGAUUUGUGAAGGUUUCCCACUGCGAGGUUUUCUAUUUUUAUUGCCAUGGCAGCGCCGCAAUUGAUGCUGUGAUGAGGAUUCUCUUGGUGAAGAUCGAAGAAACUAGGACAGGCACAGUCGUGGCUCGAAGUAGACAGGUUUCUAGAAUGACAGUUUCUUCAAAACCAGGCGGAUUUGUAAGGUCACUCGGUCUCCUCGUGGGAGUGUAAGAAAGCUUGCUGGGUUAUUGAAAAACUUGAAGUGGUUCUCAACCUGCAGAACUCCUGCUGUAGCGGAGAAGGCGAUCGCACGAGCUUCAAUGGCUCGGCGUAGAUUAUGGUUGUGGGCAGCGAUGGUUCCAUUGGCGUUUCAAAGUAUACUGUAGAGAGUGUCUGCAUACAUCAUGAAGAUUCUCAUUACACUUUGUCUCUGUGAUACCAAGAUUUGUCACAAACCUGCAUUGGAAACUGUAGAAACGAAAACGGAGAUGCUUUCCCCAAAGUACUGCUGUGCGUGCGUGAGCUUGAUCCCGCUACCCGACACUCCUCUAAUCUGCUAAACUUUGACAUUCACAUCUCCCUUGAACUAUAUCCUGUCCAAUCCUGGUAUGAUUGGAUAUAGGGCAUAGAAGGGAGAGUUUGCCAAAGAAAUUCAAAUGAUGAGCUAGACAAUAUGCAGAAAUUCGCAGCAUCCUUUCUCCAUUCCCACAGACAAUUUUCGCCUCGAAACAUUGCUAUGUUGGUUGAGCCCAACAUACCUUCCCUUUUUAGCUUGAAUCGUUGAACAAAACAAUGUAGGUCUGAUGAGAAAAAUCUUUGAUAGAUUCUUAAUGGCAGAACCAAGUUUAUUCUGGUCAAAGUUUUGGUUGUUGCUGCUGGAAUCAUUGCUUCAUGGCUCUUGUUGGAAGCAAGGUGAUCCAGAGGCUAUUCAUGUCACUGAUGUCAUUUUGAUAUGAGACAUGCAGCUCAUACCUUUACGCCGUAGCACAAACGUACCCCCACGUUCAGGAUCAGAAUUCAACAAAUCGAUCAUGCAAAAGUGAGAGGCUUUCACAAGGCUGAACCCAUGAUGUAUCCCUCCCAUGAAUGUGCGAUGACAUCCUUCAAAUCUUUCGGUAUCCUAACGUAUCCGGACAGUGGCGCAAGUUAGAAAGAACAAACAAUCAAACACUUCAGGAUGUCCAAAAUGUAUCCCAAUCUUCAGUGGAUAGUUGAGGACAAAAACUAGUGAUCUUCCAUUCUAUUUUGAGAAUUCCCACAAGCUCUACCUCUCUGCAUCCUACUCAGUAGCAAAUGUCACUAAAUGUCACUAAGGAAAAGCACUUACCUAUGAAUCCUUUAUACUUUUGUUUUUUUAAAACCAAAUAGUGAACACAAUGAAGACUAUUAGUAAAUAAAUGGCUUGUUUCAUCAAAAAUAUUAAAAAAUCAACUAUAAAGCCUAGGCACCAUUAAUCAAGAAAUUAAAUAUUUGGAUUGUUAGGUAUAAACUAUAGACAAGUAAACCACACUGCCUUAUUUUGUCCAUAAUCUCUACAACAACUAUGUAUAGACAAAAAUCAAAUCCAACCUUAAAGACCUUCUUAUUAUUUAGGAUAUAUAGGUUCUAUUUUUCCUUCAAACCAAAAGAUUAACAUUUUACCUUGUGUCACUUGUAAAAAGCUACAUUGAAUAUGACAAUGUUGAAUUAAAAAUGAGAUUGUAGAUUCAAAUUGUAGAGGGUCUCAUUCUAAAGUUUGUUGUUGAAGAUUUGAUAAGAUCAUUUCUUUAAAGUUUUUGUCAAAAGACUGGAACAAGCAAGUCAAAUUGAUUUUGCCAAGAAUUAGAUUUGUAGAUUUUAAAAUUAUAUAGAAGAUCCAAUCUUAGGAUGAAAUCAUCAUAAAAGAAAAAUUAAAAAAGACCACUUCAAGAAAGAUUUAUAAAGACUAUAGGUAUUAAAAUUACAUUGUCAUAUAUUGUUUUAAUAAAAAUAAAAGAAGAAAAUAAACUUAAGAUGUAUAUAGAUUAUUUAGAUUUAAAGAAGUACACUCAAAAGGACUAUUUUAUUAUCUUUUAUUACCUCUAUAGUAAAUAAAGUAGUAAUUCAUGACUUAUAUAGUUUCAUAGAUAGAUACGUUGAUUACAAUUAAGUAUUAAUAAUUCUUAAAGAUUAGCACAAGAUUACCUUUGCUUCACUUUGGAAGACUUUUGUAUAUAUAGUAAUAUCUUUUGGCUUUUUCAAUAUUCUUUUAGCUUUUAAAGACUCAUGAUUUAUACAUUCUCAAAUCUUCUUCACAAAUCCAUGUCAAAUUUUACUAAUAAAUUUAAUUGCUAAUCAUCAAAAGAUGAUCUUUUGAAAGCAUUGAAUUGCACUUCUCAAGUUUUAGAAAAGUAGGAAUUUCUUUCUAUUCAAAAAAAACUUAUUUAGAGAUUAAAAAUAGAUUUUUAAAAAAUAUAUUAUUUCAAUAAAAUGAUUCUAAAAAAUAACAUAUCAUUACAAUCUAAAACCUUCAAAUAGAAUAAAAAAUAUUUAAAAGAAUUUGAAGAACAUGAGUUGGUUAUUAGACUUAACUGAGUCAUACAUGUGAAAGCAUGUCAUAGCAAAGUCUUCUUAAAUGUUACACCAACAAAACUAAAACAUCCAAGAAUAAUAAAUAUUUGUUUCCAUGAUGAUUAAUCAUGCUAAAUCAUAAUACUUCACUAAAUUAAGAUUUUUGGAAGAGAGAUCUAUUCCACUUCAAUCCAUUUUUUUCCUUCUUCAUAUGUUAUCUCAUAAGAUUCACACUAACAAGUUCCAACCAUAAAAACUGAUGCUUUAGAUUAUCACUUUGUUUGAAUUUUAUUAUUUUAGACCUACCUUAUUAGUUUUUUUAGAUAAACAUAUUUUAUUUAACUUUAUUUUAUUUAGAAGGGCAAAUACAAAAUGCACUUGAUCCAUCUUAAUUGAGGUAUAGAUUGAUGGUAAAAUUCAUCCUUCAAUCCAAAUUACAAGAUUUCUACAAUUAAGACUUGAUUGUGAUUGAUAGUUUUAAGUAAAAGAUAGAAUCAAUAAGAAACAAAAAAAAACAAGCACAAAAUUUAACACUACUUUUUUCUACCUUGGUUAUUUUUUUUAUAGUAAUAUAAUUAUAUAAAAUCAAUUAAAAAUCUUAUUUUUUAUAUAAAUAAUUAAAAUAUCAUAAUAUUCUUUUUUAUACUUUUUUUAAUCUACUAAAUAAUAUUUAUAAGUUUUUUAAUAAGUAAUAUAUGUAGAUAGAAUACUAAUUAGAUAUUGGUUUCAAUAAUUAAAUACUAACUUUCAUAACUAAAAAAACAUACUUAAUCAAUUAAGAUAAUUGCUUCUAAGACUUACUAUAAUUUUAUUUUUAUAAUUUUUUUCUAAUAUAAUACUUGCAACUUAUAAAUCCUUCUAAAUUAUAAUAAAUAUUUAAAUAAUAAAAUUUAUUUUCUAGUCCUAAUAUUUAUAUAUCUAAAUCACUUAAAACUAUAUUUCUUACAAUUUUAUUAAUUAAGAUGGAUUGAUGGAAUUCACAUGUGGUGAUAAUUAAAAACUAUUUGUAAAAAUGGAAUGAAUCCUACUCUUUGCUUUGACACAAUAUAUAUAUAUAUAUAUAUAUAUAUAGAGAGAGAGAGAGAGAGAGAAUAAAAGAUAAAAAUAAUAAAAUUAUGAUAAAAAAACUAAAAUAAAUAAUUAUUUGGAUUUAAUUUAAUAUGACUUUAUAUGUAGCAAUUUCUUGCUUAAUUUAUUAAUUAAAUAUUGGAGAGCAUCUAUACUAAAAGUGAGAUUAAAAUUAGAGACUACUUGAUGUAUAAUUCCAUAAUAACUUGAUCCAAUUUAACUAGCCACAAUUGAAACAAAAUUGACUUAAAAAAAAAUACUUAACAAUGAUGGUUGCUUAUGCCUUGAGCUUAGCCUCAUAAUACACUAAAGUUAAAAACAAUCUAUAGGUUUGGCUUUCAACCACUACAAAAAUAAUUAAGCAUACUAAUGUUGUAAUCAAUGUUUAUACUUUAUAUUCCUUACAACAACUUCCAUUAAUUUGUAUAGAAAAAUCUUUUCUAUUUGAUUUUUGAGUUAAACUAAAUUAUUAUCAAAGAUUUUUUUAAUAAUAUAUAAUCUUAUUUAAAAAGUAUCAAAUUUGGCUAAAAUUUCUAGUUUUUCAGUAUCUUAAACUAUCAUUAAUAUCUUUAUUAAAAAAAUAAAUAAAAAUAAAAAAAUUAAGAAUAAAGAUCUUUUUCUUUUUCUCUAAGUAAUUUUUAAAUAUUGAGUUGCAUAUCUUUGAGUUUCACUUAGCUUUUUUUAAUUUUCUAAUUUUUAUUUUAAAGAUUCAAAAGUAUAAUUUUUUUAUUAAUAGUAAUAUAUAAAAGUGAGACUUUAAAUUCUAUAAGUAUAAUAGCUUCUAUUUUAUAUAUCAAAGAAAAGAAUAUGGUCCUUAUAAAAAGUUUGUAAAUAGUUUGAUAAGUCCAAAAAAAAAUUAAGUUUAAAUUUCCAAUCAUAUUUAGAAUCUAUCCCAAUUUUUUUAAUAUCCAAAUUAAAAUUUAUUUGAUUAUCCAUGUAAGACUACUAUAAGAUUCUAAUCACUACUUACAUAUGGUUGGCAAAUAUUACAACGUCUUUUAAAAACUACUAAAUUUGCACAUACUAUAGGCCAAAAAUAAUUUACUUUAAGAAAGUUUUGAGCUUUUAACUAACUAAAGAAGUGUCUACUACAAGUACUUGGAUAAAAAGCCCCUAAAACAAGUUGUACCUCUUCAUAUAUAUAGUUCCUUAAUAUGCCAUCAAUUUCUUAAUAAUAUAAUUUUUUAGUUUUAAGAUCAAAAUAGAUACGAUUUUUUUUAAUAUUCUAUCUUUUAUUUUUUUAUAAGACAUUGGAUAAUUUUUGAGUUAAAAAAUUUGGCAAUAUAUUCAUAUCAUGUACAUUCCACCAUAACAUUAAACAAAUAGUCAUCAAAACGUUCAUUUUCUAUAUCUUUAAAACUUAUAGUUGUAAAUAAUUGUAAGAGAUAAUUGGCUUAUUUGUGUUUUUUUUUAUUUAUAUUAUAUAUUAUGAUUAAAUUUUGCUAAAAACAAUAGCUUUUUAGUUCUUCUAUUACUUUAAUCCAAUUAAUUUACAAUACAUUCAAAGGUUAUUUAAUUUACAAAGAAAAUGGCUUUGUUCAUUAAAAGAUAAUUGUAAAAACCUUUGACACUAAAGACCAUAGCUAAACAUUCUUCUUCUAUGGUUGUAUAAUUUUAUUUAUUACUUAUUGGUUUUUUGCUAGCAAAGGCUUUAUGAAAGAUUACACCAUUAUUAAUAGGCUGAUAUAAUACACUAUCUAUUUUCAAUUUUGAAUCAAAUACAAGAUAUAUUUAAAAUUUUAAAAAAUAAGAUUAAAAGAUAUGCAUAAGAAUCAUUUUUUAGACAUUAAAAUAGAAAUCUGUAUUUAUACACAAAAAAUUGGAGAUGGACAUGAAUUUUGUAACAUGUUUUAAAAUUUUAAACAUAAAUAUAUUGAAAGUCCAUUAAUAGCUCCUUUUGAUUAUCAAAAAGAAUCUAUUAAAAAAAUUAAAAUAUUAUAUGUUACAUUAGAAAAGUUUGCAAAUAAAAUUCAUGAAAAAAUUUACAUACAUCUUCUAUUUGUAUAGAGAGUACAUUGACUUUUUUUAGACAAAUAAUAGGAUAUAAUGGCAAGUAUAUGGAGAGUCAACUUCAACAAAUAAAAGAAUAGAAAAGUACUCAAGCUUGUCAAUAAGUAUUAAUACAAAUAGCUAGUUUUUCUAUGAUGGUUGGAAACAAGAUGAUCUAAGUAAUCAUCACCUUAACUUUGAAUUUCUUACAAUAGGAUAAUAGAUAGAAAUAUAGAUGGAAUGAUGUUGAAAGAGACCAAUGAUAGUAGAUAUUGGAAGAAAGAAGGAGUAUAUAAAGAUCAUAUUAGAAGAGCUUACUAUUUUAUUAGAGAAUAGAGUGUAAAUUGGUGUGACCAUGUACAAUCUAUAGUAUAUGCUUGAAACAUAGAUUAUAUGGUUUUAAGUCAUUUAAAUAUAUAUAUAUAUAUAUAAUAUUUAAAUUUUUAUUUAAAUAUAAUAUUUUAUAAAUAAAAAAUAAACAUAUAUUUAUAUAAGUUACAUAUUUUAUUUUCAUAUCAACAAGUCUACAUAUAAUUUUUUUUUUAUAUAAAAAAAAUCUACAUAUUAUAUGAAGAAUAAUUUUUUAAUUUUAAAAAUCUCAUAUCUCCUAAAAUAUAGACUUGCUAAAACAUUUAAACAUAAAAUUAUGCUCAAAAGCAUCACAAAUUAAGUGGUAGGUGUUGAAUUGACUUUUUCUUCACCAACUUAGUUCAAUCAAUUUUCUAUAGGAUUUGAGUACAUAAAAAUAGACUACCAAUUAGAAAAGUUAAUAAAAAUAAGUUAAUACAAUCUAAUAAAAGUAAGUUAACAGUACAUAUAUUUAUUUUUAAAAUAUAAAUAUAAUUUAGAUCUUAUUAAUUGGUAUAAACUUAAGACAAAUAGGAUCAAACAUUAACUAUAUAGACUAUAUUAAAUAAUUUUAUUUCUUUUGAACAUGUGCUUCUUUCAACUGUCAAUAAUAAACUACUUUGUUUAAAAUAGUAAAUUAUUUUACUAUCACUACAAUUUGAUUAAAUAGUCUUUACUUGCAUACAUGUAUAAAUUCUAAGUUUCAAUAGUAAAUCAAUUGAAUUUAUUCUAAUAGUUGUUUCAAAAUAAGUCUUAUUUAUUCUUUAAUAAUCCAAUCAAUUGAUAAUAUGCAUUAAGUAUAAUUGAUAAUUUGUCUUAAAAAAAAUACCAAUAUGAUGAUUAUUCACUCUUAAAUUUGUAAUAUUAUAUUCUUAGAAAUUAAUAUGAUUAUUAUCAACAUUAAGAAUACAAAUCAAUUGGUCUCUAUAUUUUUUAUUUGACCAAUACCAUGAACUUCCUAUAAUAUUAAGCCUAAAAUGUUAACAUAAACAUUGAAAGAAUACUUUAUAUUUAAAAAAAAAAGAUUGAUUUAUUAAAAACUUCUUAAUUCUUUUAGUUGGUGACAUAUCUCCAAUUAGAUUAUAUAUUUUUUAGUGAGAUGAUCUAAUUAUAUAGUAUUUAUUUAUAAUAACUAUAAUCAACUGCUAAUAAUUUAUUUGGUAUGAAUUAAUCUCCUAAUAACCUAUUAAUAAUCUAAGUAUAAUUCAAUCAAUAAAAGUGAACAUUAAAAUUUAAAACUUAAAAAUAUUAUAGCAAUUGAUAAGAUUACAAGAUGUUUAUAAGAAAUCAAUUUAAAAUUAAAAAAAAAUCAAUAGAAAAAAAUACCAAGUCAAUUUUCUUAUUUUUAAAAAUCAAAAAACUUGUAGAACAUUCUUAGUCAAUCAUUGGAUUUAUAGACCUCCAAAAUAAAAAAUUAGAUUAAAUAAAAAAUUAAAAAAUAUUAUACAUUUAUAAAAUAAAUUUUAAAUUUUAAAUUAUCAAAUAUGUAAUAUCUACAAAUUUAUAUACUUUUAGAAAAAUUCAAUGAUAUAUUUAGAAUAUGCAAUCUUCAAAUGGAUCUAAUGAUAUUUUAAAAACUAUAAAAAAUCUUUUAUAAAAAAGUCAAAAUUCUAAAAUUAUCAUGAAUAUACAUAUUUAUUUUAAUAAUUAAUUAUAUAAUAUAAAUAGAAAAAUAAUAAAGAAAUCUAAAUUUUUAUUAAAGCAAUCUACUCUAUUUUAACCAUCAUUGCACCUUUAUAGCUUCCAUCCAUGUUUUUAGUUGUUUUCUGUUUUCAACCAUUGUUAAAGAUGGAAGUUGAGAGUUGAAACUGUCAAGAAUGGUGUUGUACUAGAUAGUAGUAUAAUAUGUAAAAAUAAUAUAAAAUAUCAUAUGAAUUUGGAUUAUAAUUAAAAAUAAAAUAAUAAUAAUAAUAAUAAUAGAUAAAAUAAAAUAUUUAUCUAAUUUAUUUAAGUUUAUAAUUUAAAUUUUAGUAAUUAAAGAUAGAUGUUGUAAGAUUUAUGAGCAAGGAGUUUAGAUAGGCUUUGGUGUCAAAAGUAAAAUAUUUUGACUUUUAGGCCAUCCCAUAUAGAUGAAUAAGGUGAGUAAUAGAGGACUUCAUUUCUAUUGGUUUAAAGUUAUGUUCAAUAGGCUUGGAGAUGUUGUUUGAGACGACAUUAAAAUUUGGAACCACUUUAAGGCAAUCCGUUUGAGGUAAAGAAAUCUAUUCCAAGUUUAGAGAUUGGAUUUGAAAAGCUUGUAUUUUAGACUAGAAUUUGAAUGAAAUAAAUAUGUGAUUUAAAGUUUAAAUGAGAGAAAAAUAGUUGUUUGAAGUUAAAGUACGAAUUUGGUAUCUACUAUUAUUUUUUAAAUAUAUAAAGAAAUUUAAAAAUACAUUAAAGAAUUAAAAAGUGAGGUUAGAAAGUUGACUUAAAGAGCCACAUUUUAUAUAAAGAAAUGGAUGCAUUCCAAUCUAAAAACAAAGAAAAGAGAGCUAUUAGAAGUAAGUAUUCAAAAUUAGGAUUUAUAAGUAAGUUAUUUUUAAUAGAUGUUUUGGUUUUGGCCAUAUUUUAAGUGUUUGGAUGAACAUUUGGCUCAAAAUUUCCACAAGUAUACAUAACUAUGUUAAAAAGUUAUAUAUGAAAAAUUCAUAGUAUUUGAAUAUUGGAUUUUUAUGUUAUAAUGGAAUUACUAAGCAGGUACUUAGAAAUUGACAUAUUUAGUACCAACUAACAAUUAGGCAAUAUUCAAAGAUCUGUAAUGAAUUUAUGGUUGAUUUUUUUUAUGAAAGUAGUUAAGGAUAUAAAUUAAGUUUUAGAGAAUUUUAUAUCCAAUUGGAUGGUUACAUUGAAAGUUAAAUACAUUUGGCAGGGGUUUGUAUAAGAAUAGAAGUGGUUUUUAGGAAAUCUAGUUACAUCUUUGAAAUUCUUGUACAUCCUAGACUUGUAUAUUUGAUGCAUUUGUCUUCUUGAAGACAAUGUAUAAAUGAUAUUUAUAUUUAUUAAACUUGUAAUUUAUUUGAGUAAUUAGUGGCAGCUAGAGGUCUAGCACUUUCUUGAGGCAAACUCUUUCUACUAUGACAUUUGGUGCUUCUAUUGAGAGAGUCUUAAAGCACUAAUUUUUCAACAAAUUAUGAUAGAAGAUAUAAAGUAAAGAGGCUCAAAUAAUAGAUGUGGUCAAAAUCUUGGAAAUGAAUUAUUAAAGAUCAUGUAAAUGUAUAUAGGCCAACAAGUUGCUAAUGCAACUUUGUAAAGGGCCGGCAAAGCAUUGAAAGAUAUUACUAGCAAGAGAAGAGGUUUAAUAGAAAGAAUAUCAUUAAAUUUUUGAGGGUCUACACCUAUGAAAUGGAAAUCUAUUAAAUUUAAGAAGAUAUGAUGAUUGAGACCUUUGAUUUAAUAGCUAUGUCAAAAAUAAAAAAAUAAAAAAAGGUAAAAUAGCUACGUGAGAGCAUCAAUGUAAGUACAUGGACUAGAAAGUUCUAGGGGAUUCCUUUCUAAAAGCUUCUAGAAACUUUUCUUCUAGAAGGUUCCAGAGACUUCCUUUCUAGAAGCUUCUAGAAACUUCUCUCUAAAAGGUUCUAGAGGCUUCUCUUCUAGAAGGUUCCAGAGGCUUGUUUUCUAGAAGGUUCUAGAAACUUCUCUCUAGAAAGUUCUAAGGAAUAUGUCCCUAACAUCACCCCCUCCUUUAGCUUCGAGGUCUCUGAGAAGCAAUGUUGUUGAUCAGUACCAACGCAAGAAAAUGAAGAUCUGUCGCAUAACUUCUCCUAUGAACUCCAACUGUUGUUCACGAGGCAAGUGGUUCAUUGACCCUUGAAGCCAACGGUAGUGGCCCACGCCUUCGACUUCUGACUAAGCAUGAACUUCCGUGUCCUCAUUGUGAAAUUGUCCUGCAAACACGCCUUCUGGUUGACCAUCGUAAGCAGGCUUGAUCUCAAAUACGAUCACCAGUGAUCGGUUACUCGGUAUCCUCCGUCGUCGUCGUGGUACAUGUAGUUCUUCAUCUCGGGGUCGCCUUCGUGAGCUACUCGGUUGCGAUACUCUGACUGGCAUAGUAUCUAUCUCUUGGCUAUCCAUAUCAAAAGACCAAACUACGAUCUAUCUUGGAGAAAAUAACUACAUCAACUAUGAAUUUUGCUGGUACUCUCCCCUUUUCUUAUAUUGUUGGGAGAAUAAGCUUCAGAAAGAAGCUAUCAUCGAAUUGAUUUAGGUUUAUCGGGAUGUCGUUGAUGAAACUCCUGUACCUUUUGUGGUGCAUUCGCAAGAUUUUCAGCUGGCUCCCACGUUCGCUCAUUAAUGUCAUAGCCGCACCAAUGAACAAGAUAUUCUAACUUUCCCCACCUUCGUCGUGAAUCCAAUAUCUUUUCAACCUCGUAUUCUUCGUGGUUCUCGAUUUCAAUACUAGGUGGUGGACAUUGCACUCUUCCAGGAAAAGAUGACUCUCGAUAAGGUUCCAACAGAGAAACAUGAAAGACUGGAUGUACCUUCAUAGAAACCGGUAACUCCGGCCGGUAUGCCACUGGAUUAAUUUGCUUCUGGAUGAUAAAUGGUCCCAAUCUUCGAUAGUCCAACUUAUCACAUGGUCGCAUGGUCUUGAUAUUUCGUCGAAGAAGCCAGGCUUUGUCUCCAACUUUGAAAGUAGAUGCUGGAUUCCGAAAUCUAUCUGCAGUCGUCUUAUAGGAUUCUUGAGCAGAUUGUAAUUGAAGCUUCAACAUAGUUUGAAGCUCCGAUAGUUGCUUCGCAAAUCCUUCAGCUAUUGGAUUGUUAUUUGUUGACGGACUCAAUAAAUCAAGCUUCGGAUGAUACCCAUAGUUGGAGAAGAAUGGUCUUUGUUGAGUCGACGCAUAGAGGGUGUUGUUAUAUGCAAACUCGGCUAGCGAUAGAUAUGCAGUCCAAUCGUCUUGCUGAUAGUUGAUGCUGCAUCGUAAGUACUACUCCAAGACUUGGUUCACCCGUUCCGUUUGGCCAUCAGUUUGAAGAUGAAAAGCUGAAGAAAGCUUGAUAUCCACCUUCAAUAUGCCAAAGAGAGAUCUCCAAAACUUUGACACGAACUAGGUACCUCGAUCUGAUAUGAUAUCAUCUGGUAGUCUAUGAUAUCGAUACACAUUAUCGAGAAAGAGUCUUGCUGUGACUUCACUAGACGAUGUCUUCUUACAAGGAACAAAGUGUGCCAUCUUCGUAAGCCGAUCUACCACGACAAAGAUGCUGUCAAAUGAGUUUGAUGAUGGCAAGUCUGUGAUGAAGUCCAUAGAAAUUGAAGACCAUGGUCGACGUAGAAUUGGUAAUGGCUAUAGAAGUCCAUAAGGGCAAUGCCGAGGAUUCUUAGAUCUUGAACAAAUGUCACAAGAGAGGACAAAAUCUUUCACAUCCUUCGACAUUUGGGGCCACCAAAAAUCUCGGGAAAUAAGCUCCAAGGUCUUGUUGAAUCCAAAAUGUCCCACAGCUGGAAAAUCAUGGCGAGAUUGAAGAACUCGGAGUCGUGCUAGUCCUUUUGGAAUGUACAAUCGCUCUUCAAAGUAUAAAAGAUCUCCCUCUACCUUGAACUUGUCGUCAUUGGUACAUUGCUUGAUAUCAAUGGCUACUGAAUCUUUAAUGGUCAUAACACGUACCUGGUUUAGGAAGUCAGCAUCAAAUGAUACAAUAGUAGCACAAAGUUGAAAUCUCUCUGGCUUCAAUAACGUUGUACAUUGUUGAUCAAACGCUGCUUCUCUAGCCUUUGGUGCAAGAUAUGAUCUCCUUGAUAAAGCAUCGGAUAGUCCUUGCUGCCUUCCAGGUCGAUAAGUGAUAAAAUAAUCGAAUCUAGAUAGCGACAUAUUCCACCGAGCUUGACGCCGAUUUAAAACUCGAGCCGUCAUGAAAUACUCCAAAUUCUUGUCAUCCGUAUAUACGGUUACUGGAUGUGCAACUCCUUCAAGAAAGUGACGCCAUUCUUCGAAAGAAUCCACUAUAGCAAGAAGUUCCUUAUCGUGGAUCUGAUAAUUGAUUUCAGCAGCAGAGAACUUCCGAGAAUAGAAUGCAACUGGAUGGAGCUUCUUAUCUUCACUCAUUUGUGAAAGCACAACUCUCAAAGCAAAAUCUGAAGCAUCAGUUUCUAAAUAGAAGGCCUUUGUAAAGUCUGGAUGUACCAAAAUUGGAGCUGUAGUAAAUGCUGUCUUCAAAUCUUGAAACGCCUUCUCCGCCAAAGGUCCCCAUUCUAACUUAUCCUUGCAUGUUAAUCGAGUGAGAGGAGCAGCAACUUGAGAAUAAUUCUUAAUGAAGAUCCGAUAGAAGUUAGCAAAAUCAAGAAAGCAUUGUACAUCUCUAACCGUCUUCGGAACCUCCCAAGACAUGAUUGCUUCUACUUUCUUGGGGUCCAUCUUCAAACCUUCUGUAGUCGCAAUGAACCCCAAAAAUUCCAUCUCCGUCUAGUGAAAUAAACACUUUUCUAAUUUGGCAUAUAGUCCUCGCUUGCGUAGUUUCUCCAAGACCAAACGAACAUGCUCAUCAUGCUCUUCCUCAUUUUUAGAGAAUAUUAGAAUAUCGUCCAAGUAGAUGACAACAAAAUCAUCGAGGUGUUCUCGAAAGAUGUCAUUCAUCAUAUGUUAAAAAACCGCUGGAGCAUUGAUAAGACCAAAAGGCAUGACAUUAUAUUCGAAAUGACCAUACCUUGUACGGAAUGUUGUCUUCCACUCAUCUCCUUCCUUGAUUCGUACGAGAUUAUAAGCUCCCCUUGGAUCAAUUUUUGUAAAGAUCUUCGCACGUCCAAGUUGUUCUAAGAGACUAGAAAUCAAGGGUAAUGGGUAAUGAUUUUUCUUUGUUACCUUGUUGAGGCCUCGAUAGUCCACACACAUCCGUAAUGAUCCAUCUUUCUUCUUCACAAAUAAGAUGGGUACUCCAGCUGAUGAUUUUGAAUGACGAAUGAAGUUCUUGGCUAGAUUCUCAUCGAUGUACUUUCGUAACUCUGCCAACUCCGUUUGCGAUAGAUUGUAGAUUGGGCCAACAGGUGGUUGUGCUCCUUCUUGCAAGUCUAUGGCACAAUCAUAUGGUCGGUGUUUCAGUAGUAUGUCGGCGUUCUUCUUUUGAAACACGUCUUCAAAAUCUUUAUAUUGCUCUGGUAUACUUGCUAUUGAGAUCUUCUCCUCGGUAGUUGGAGCCGCAUAAAUUACAAAUACAGUGCUUUCUUUAGAGGAUCUUAUAAACGCUCUUGCUCCAAUGAAUAAGGAUUUCUUUUUUCGAGGUUUUUUACUAGGUUUUUGCUUGGGUGGUUUUGUGGAAAAAGUCAUCUUCCGCAACCUCCAAUCUAUCAAUGGAUUAUGUUUUUCCAACCAAGAAAGACCAAGAAUAAUAGGAUUUGAUGGGGUUCUAAUAAUAUUAAAAAUAAUAUGACUACUAUGGUCUUUAAACGUUACUUCUAUAGGUUUUGAUUCAUAGGUGAUGCUACCAGACAAUAAAGGUUGCCCAUCUAUGACCUCAACAUGAACAGGUUUUGAUUUUUGUACUAAAGGGAUCUUAUGACACUUUGCAAAUUCUUCGUCUAAAAAACAAGCAGAUGCUCCUGAGUCUAGUAGUGCUAAGGUUCUCAAUUUUUGAGGGCCGAUAAACAGAGGGAUUGUAAAACAAAGUACAGGUUGGGCAGAAAGAAAGGAACCUGAUUAUUGUUGGGAUAUUUCAUUGUCCAGCCGCACGGUUCCUACUGUGGCUGGGCAUCCUCGUUUUCCUGAACAAAUACUCCCCUAGUCUUGACUAUGCCUCGAUUUUGCUUUUUGGGGUAGUUUCCAACUUUGUGGCCUUCUCCACCGCAAUACAAGCAUAAAUUUUCCUCCAUACGUCGCUUUUUUUCUUCUAUAGUAAGAGAUUUGAUACGUACCGCAUCAAUUUGCAUGUCUUCUACCUCUGAAUGUGAAUUCACACCGCUUGCCGACAUAGUUGGAGCAUGGCGAAUUGUAUGUUGUCUUGAGCGUUGGUCUUGGCGACGUUGGAAUAGGCGAUUAUCGCACUUCACAGCUUAGCUAAUGGCUUCAUUGAGCAUUCGUGGAUCAGGAAGAGUUAACAGCAAAUCCUUCACAUUAUCUCUUAAACCCCAAUAGAAUUGACUCAUCAACGCUUCUUCAUCCCAAUUGAUGUCGCAUACUAAUUGCCUGAAAUUCGAAGCAUAGACUGAUGUAGAACGCAUCCCCUGACGUAGCGACCGGAUCUUUGUUGUAGCCCAUCGAACCUUAUCGUAUUCACCAAAUGCUUCCGCAAAUGCUUCCAAAAAGGUUUCGAAGUUGUUUAAUAUGGAUGAUCGUUUCUCAAACAAAGGAGCAAACCAUGAUAGAGCUUGUCCCGUAAGUAAGGUUCCAACAAGCCCAACACGUGACUCCUCCGUUGGAUAUCGUUCGGGCUGUAAAAUUGUUAUCAACCUGAUUUGAUUGAUGAAUCCUCGAAACUUGGAACGUGUUCCAUCAAACUUAUCUGGAAGGCUAACUCGAGGCUCCUUAUGUUGUAGAACUAGUGGUUCUUGUCGAACCUGAGAUAAAGUUGUUUCUCCAAGUGCCGAAAUUUGAGGCUGGUGUAGUUUAGAUUGUGCUAUCCCAGAUACUCUAUCAUUAUGAAGCCUUGCCACCACUCCUUCAAUCUCUGCAGUUCUUUGUGAUAACGUAGCGAGGGCAUUCAUAAUAGCAUCUAACUUAGACUCCGAACUUUCUGUCAUACUAAUGUCUUGACCUCCGGCCAUUCUAAAAGAAGGACAAAAAUGACCCUAUAAGAGGCAAUAUUGGUUUAUAGGAGGGUAAUCCACAACCUAUAAAACGCCUUAAGAAUUUCAAGAAGAGGGGUAAUCCACUUUCUCCAAGAAAAAUAAGACUCCAAUAUUGUAACAGAAGAAGUAUCAGUUUAGAGGAGGGUAAUCCGCAACCUCUAAAAAAUGCUAGUAUACCUUCAAGUAGAGGGGUAAUCCACACUCUACUAAGAAAGAACUAGCUCUGAUAUCUCAAGUUAGUGUAGUCUCAACAAACUGUCACGGACACAAAAUACAGACUUGAAAUCUAACAAGAAGUUCAAGAAGAAGUGGCAGAACUAGAUUAAACAGAUGAGUACAAGAACAACACCAGAAAGGUGAGCUAGAACUCCAAGAGAUGUGUUGUCGAGACUGAAGAACUCUUCAGCCUCGAUCCCUAUAUAUACUCCUACUUAGAAAGCUUCUCGAGCUACUUCUAUUAACUAGGAAGCUUCUAGAAGGUUCCAGAGGCUUCCUUUCUAGAAGGUUCUAGAAACUUCUCGAGCUACUUCUAUUAACUAGGAAGCUUCUAGAAAGUUCCAGGGGAUUCCUUUCUAGAAGCUUCUAGAAACUUUUCUUCUAGAAGGUUUCAGAGACUUCCUUUCUAGAAGCUUCUAGAAACUUCUCUCUAAAAGGUUCCAGAGGCUUCUCUUCUAGAAGGUUCCAGAGGCUUGUUUUCUAGAAGGUUCUAGAAACUUCUCUCUAAAAAGUUCUAAGGAAUAUGUCCCUAACAAAACUUCAAUUUGAUAUUGAAUCAUCAAUUGCCAUAAAUGACAUCUUAGAAGAAAAGAUUUUAGAUAUCAAGAUUGAAUUUAUCUUAAGUAAAGUUAUUGACAUUGUAAAGAAAGAUUUUAAUAAUCUUAUAAUUGAUGUUAUGAAGAAGAAGAAACAAAUGAUAGUUGAAAUAAUGAUUGCAAGAACACUAGAUACUCUAAUGAUCAAAGAAAAAAAAAUUGAAUAAGUAUUUGCUUUGAAAUAUGAUGAUGUAGGCAGUGGUGACCAAAGCAAAAGAUAUGGAAUCAAUUAUAAUAAGAUUGUGAAUAUAGAAGUUGAAAUUAUGGAGAAAGUUAUGUGUAAUGAGAUAGAAGAUGAAGUGCUACGAAUGUUUUUAUGUGAUGGGAUGACUAAGAUUAAGGUAAAAACCAACACUAGCAAGAAUCAAGAAAAAAGAAUUACAAUAGAGGCCAAAGUAUCUCAAUGUGAGGCUAAAAAGAUACAGAGGAGUAAAAAAAAAGCUUUGACAGCUUAUAUUCAUCAAUUUUGGAUAAGAACUACUAUAGAGACAUCUGCAAAGAUUAGAAGCCUUGAAGAAUCAAUCUUAGCAUUAAUUGAUCAUAGCUCUAAGAUCAAUAUCUUGUCUAGAAAGGUUUAUGAGAAAGACAAGUAGUCAAUUGAAAUCAACCAUAGAUGGAUAUUAAGCAUUGCUAAUGAUAAAAGAGAUAGCUUUUAUGGAACAUGUCCAAUAGUAGACAUCAAAAUUGAUAAUGUGAAAGUAAAAAAAACUUCUUUAUGCAAAAUCAAGGAAAUUAUUCAAUCAUUUUGGAAUAGCCAUGUAUCAUUACAAUAAAGAUGGAGACCAAGUAAUUAGAUGAUGGCUCACAUUAUACUAGGAUUUGUUGCCAUGAUGACAAUAGAUUAAUUGAGUUUGUCAUAGUAAAGCCAAAUCAUAAGAAUCAUAGAAAUCAACGUAGAGAAAUUACCAUGGACUAUGAGCAUGAUGAUUUUUUGGAUUUUCAAACUAUACACAUGGAGCAUGGAAUGCCACAAGUGCAAAGAAAUCAUUUAUUAUAGUAUAUCUCAAUGUAUAAAGGAAAGAUUAUAAGGUUUGGAGUUUAAUAGAAGAUAGAUUUGUAAGUUUUUAAAAAGUUAAAGAUUUGGAUUUUAUGUAUAGAUGAUUAAUUUAAAAAAUAAAGUAAAAAUUAAAAAUAAUCAAUGUGAUUUUGAGUAAUAAAUUUAUUUUUGGAAUUUUUGAAGAAGAAGAAUUUUUAAAAGAUAUUUUAUAAGUUUUAGAGAUUUUGUAAGAAAAAGAUAUUGUAUCUAUUAAUAUGAUGGUGGAAAUUCAUUCAAGAGGAUUGUAUGAAGAGAUAUUAAAAAUAGCUAUUGAUACUAGGUUAAUUGAGAAUUAUGGCUUAGAGAUUGAAGCAAUGAUGAAUAUUAAGUAUAAUUCCAUGACAAAGAAGGUGAAGCUAGUGGCAACAAUACUAAUACCAGAUUCCAAAGAUCAUAUCAAGAAGGUUGAAAAAGAGGCUAGAUUGAGGCAAACAAGAAAGAUUGGAUAUAAUUUUAUAGACGAGAUAUUAGCCAAGCUAAAGAUUGGAGGAGGUGAAUUUUUGAAAGAACUUGAAAAGAUAAGAUUCCAAAAAAUGAUCUCCAAGCAUAGUAAGGCUUUUCUUUCUUUAUUAUAUGAAUUUGGAUGUGUUGAUCCAAAGGUUGUUGUACCAAUGGUCAUUUUUACUAUUCUACAUGUAUCUUAGAAUUUGAAGCUAAUUUUUGUGCCAAAAAGCCUUGAUACCUAAGUUGGUAAGUUUAUUAAAAGAAAAGAUGCAAAUGAAAAUAUUUGAAUCAUUUAUAGCUCCAUAUUUCAAUUAAUGGUUCAUAGUUCUAAAGAAAUGUGGAGCUUUGAAGUUCAUUGAAGAUAUGUAGCUAACCAAUAAGGUGACAAUUAGAAACAAGGAAUGGAGACCAAUUGUGGAUGAAGUUACUAGGGAUUUUGCAAGACAUGCCAUCUAUUCUAUUAGAGACAUUUAUUUUGAUUAUAACUAGUUUCAACUUACAUCAAAAAAUAGAGAUCAAAUAACUACAAAGAUUCUAUUGGGACUUAUGAAGAUGUGCACUUUGCUUCAAGGUACUACUAACCCAGUAGCUCAUAUGUAGAAUAACAUAAACCAAUGUUAAGGAAUUUUGUGCUUAAAAAUACUAUUCAUUUUGUGGAUGAUAUACUUAUCAAAGACUACAAAGAAGAAGCUAAAAACUUCACAUAGGGUUCUGAUGGAUGCAAAAGAUUUGUAAAAGAUCACAUUGAAGAUGUGGAAAAGUUUUUGAAGAAGCUUAAAGAGGUGGGUCUAAUCUUAUCUAUUGACAAGUCCAAGUUUGAAAUUAAUGAGAUUGUGGUGGUUGGACGCUUGUGUAGGAGGUAUGGCAGAAAAUCUAAUUUUUAAAAGGUUAAUACUAUUGUUAGGAUGAAAGCAUGUAGUAGCAUCAAUGAAAUAAGGAGGUUUUUAGGAACUUAUAUCUUCUAUCAGAUUUGGAUUCUUCACUUUAUUCACAUAGUUAAGCCAUUAUAUAAUUUCUUAUAAAAAAAGAGAUUAUAUUUAGAUAGAAGCAAAAAUAAAAAUCAAUCAUUGAUAGUCUAAAGGAGAUUUUGAAGUCACUACCAAUCUUGAAGCUAGUUGAUUAUGACUGUGGCAGACCAGUUGUUGUUACUGUUGAUACAAGUCCUAUUACUAUUAAAUAGACUAUUGGUCAAGAUGAUGUAGAAGGUAAGAGAUUUGCCAUUAGAUUUGGAGCCAAAAUUUUCACAAAUAGAUAAAGAAUAUAUCGUCAAGUAAAAAAGGAGCUUUUGGAAGCACUUACAAUUAUGAAAGUAGACAUAAAUUACUUGAUUGGAGCCAAUAUAGUGCUAGAAAUUCAUUGUUUAUUAUUAUUAGGUCUAAUUGCCAAUUGUUUUAUUCUUGAUAUUGCCAUACUAAGGUGAAUAGCUUACAUCAGAUCAUUUAUUAUUCUAUUGGUGUACAUUUUAGAAAAGAAGAAUUUUUUGGUAGUUAUGCUAUUUAGAACCAAAUAUAUUUAUAAGAAGAGAUGGAGAUACAAGAGAUUGGUGAAGAUGAUAAAGAUGAAGACUAUGGCUAUAAAUUAGCUACUAAUAGAAUAAGCACAAGUGGUAAAGAUGUGGCUUUUAGAAAAGACCUUUAUAGAGGCAAGUUAAGAAACAUUGGCAUCUAUUUUAAUACCAUGAAGAGACAAGAAAGCUAGUCAGACAAGGCCUUUAAAGACAUCAAACAUCAAUCUUAUGACUAUAUUUUAAAAGAUAAAUUUCUUAUAGAAGAGAACAAAGACGAAGGAUGGUAUACUAUUAAGAGUGGUAGAUGAUGUAGAAAUUAAAAAUCAAGUUCUCAAGAAGUUUCAUAAUACACUUUAAACAUAUCAUGAAUCACAUAAUUGACUUACUAGUUGUUUUAAUACAAAAUGACACUUAUAUUACUAUGAGUCACUAUUUUAAUGAGUUAAUAUGAGAAUUUUGAAAAAAAUAGAAAAAAAAAUAUAAUAAAAAUAUAAUAAAACAUUAGUUGGAAGAAUGGAUCUUUGAUAGAAUUGACUUUGAUAAGGGAUUUUAAACUAUAUAUCCAUUUUUUAGAUUAGCCAAUAGAAAAUUAAAUUUUUUAAUAGUAGUCUUGUGUCCAUCAAAUAUUUAAUGAAGCUAGAAUUUAUAUGGAAUACUUGAUAAAAAAAAAUCCAAAAAGGAAAAAUAAGGUAAAAGAAAAAAAAGAAAAACAACCUUGGUAGCUUUAGAAAAUUAAAUAAGAAAAAAAAUAAUAGAUUAGAAAAUAAUAAUAAUAAUAAAUAUAUAUAUAUCAAAAGAGUAGAAGAAGAAUAGAGAAGAAAAGAAGAAGAAGAAGAAGAAGAAGAAAAAAAAAAAAAAAAAAAAAAAAAACAGAAUAAAGUAAAAGAUGGAUGAGUGCUAGAGGCUGCUCCCAAAUUCCGGCACUCUUUGCUGAUAGAGAUCCGGGCCGCCCCGGAUCCUCUCUCUCUCUCGUUUUGGUUUGUUUUUCCCUCGUCUUCACAAGCUCUAGGCGCUUAUAACUGGUUUUUGUCUCCUUCACCUGGUGGGGGUGCUGCUGAGGAGCUUCGCAAUUUUUGAAAGUUGCAGUUGGAAGUUUUCUUCUGUUUUUUGUUUCCUCCUUUUCUGUGUGGUUGCACUGUAACAAGGAAGAAACAAUUUUCUUGGGGUGACUAGAACCGCAAAAGUUCUUCUUCUAUAUUGGAGCUUGCGCUCGUGGGGGGUGCUAUAGAGCUUGGAUCCUGGUCUGACAUUAGGCAGCUCAAUGGGGUUCCUCUUAUUUGCUUACGGUCUCAAUGGCGAUGGUAGGUGAUUCUACAUUGUGGUGCUAAGAGAUGAAGGUUCUUGUUCUGCUUCCUCAAGCGAUUCUUAGUGGAGUGUCACUGGUGUUGCGUUUAAUGUUCAAUCAUUGCGGAGGCUUUGAUUUUUGGAAGAUGUGCUCCUUCAGCUAGUGCGUGCUUCUCAUGGUGUUGUUACUGGAGUCAAACUGCAGAUAUUGUUGCUAUUUUCUCUAGUUUUGUUGUGCAUAGCUAUGAUAUUAUUUCGGGCUGUUUUGUUUUGGGCUGCGGUUGAUGCCUUCUCCGAUGACCUUGAACUUGCGGUGAUGUUGCUGUUGAGAGCUAAUACACUUUGUCACAAAAUCCACCGAAGUUCUUCUUUUCCUUGGUGAUUGUUACUAUUGCAAAUGUGGCGGUGUGGUGUCCUACUUCUCUAUGGGUUGCUUAUUGCUUAAUACAUAGGAUAUCACUUGGCUGGUGGCGCUGUUAUUGAUAGAUUUGCGGUGGCAUCAAAAGUAUUUUUUUCCUUCUCCUUCCUUGUCGUGGACUGGUUGCGACUGGCGAGGAUAGUUCCUUCUCUUCUAGUGCUUCUUUGCCGUACAAAUUUUUUGCGGUGCCUCAUUCCAGUGCGGGAGCAUUCCAGUGCCGAAAUUGCAGGUGACGACCAUCUGCAGAAGACAUUCAACUGGCGAUUAGCGUAGAAGUCUUGAGUUAAUACGACAGAGAGUCGACAGUGCCUACUAUUAAGAGAAGCUGGGCAAGCCGCAAAAGCGAGAGCGGAGGAGUUAACUCGGUAUAAUUCUUGAUGUUUGACAACAUCAAGUGAGUAAAAAGUACACAAUCUAAAUGAGCUUUACGGCAUCAGAACUAGUGAUUAAGCCGUUGUGCGCAAUAGUAUAGCUCUUUUAAAUCAGUGCUUGUGUUGCCAUUAAACCACUUAACCUGUUCCUUAUCGAACGUGCUAAAUUAGUACGUCCAAGUAUAUACUGCAUAUCUAGUUGUUCUUUGGAGGAUUUACACUUUAUAAUUGAUAAGAUCUGAACCCCGGUUAGUUAUUAAAAUCUAAGCACUAGACAUCAAGACUAAGCGUAAACACGGUGGAAGGCCUUUAAAAAUAGUUCAAAGCUGCAACUACAAUUGUGAAUUCAAGGGCUGCAUAUGAAUUAGAAUCAAAAGUUGCAACUGGUUCUAUUGCGAUUGGCCAUACGUCAAGUCAUCUACCUUCUGGCCGUUGUUACGUAGUGGAGGUGGUCAUCGACUUGUGUGAAUCUGAAGUACAGGAAGAGAGCAAAAGAAGCAGUCGGUGGCUCUCUCAACAACCAGAGAGGCAGGAAACAAGGAAAACAAAGACUGUCCCUUGAUUUCCCUCAAUUCCAGGCCAAAAUGCAAAGUUAAGCAACCUGGAGAUGGAGACAACUUAUCAAAUUCAUAUCACUGAGGUUUUAGUGAAUAAAAUCAUAUUGCAUGGCUUUAAAUCAAACUUGGAUGAGGCUAGGGUUUGAAUAAAUGAUAAAUUGUGGAUGAAAAUUGAUUGAAUUUGGAUGAUUUUUCAUUUACAGAUGAAAAAUUAUUAUAGAUGAAAGUUAAAAUUUGGAUGAAUUUUUAUUAGAAAAUAAAAUAAAAUAAAAUAAUUUCCUAUUAAAUAUGUGUGGCUUUGUAUUAUCAUGUGGCUUAUAUGGUGUUUGUAAUUAUUUAAGUGUGAAUUUAAUUUAUUAAGAGGUUGAUUUUUCUUAACAAAAAAUAAGAAGAAGUUUUUACGUAAUCACUUAUAAGUUAGUUAGUAGUUGUGAAUUAGAUGAAAUUACCUAUAAGAAUGGUUUAUUUUAUUUCAUAAUUAAAAUGUUACUAAAUUCUUUAGAUACUAAAUCAAAUAUUAAUUAAUAAUUAUUAGAAUAUUUAGAUAAUAAAAUUAUUGUAAAUUAAAAUAGACUUCCAUCUUAUGGAAGUUUAUUUUGGUUUAUAUAGGCCACAGAGGAAUUUGAAUCACCUACUAUAAGAUCAAAGAACGAUAUUGAUAAAAAGGCCUCUACAAAGAUGUGGAGAAAUUUUUGGCUUUUUACUUUGAAUGCCAAUUGCAAUCUAAAGUCAGAUUUAGAGAUGAGAUGCAUUCUACCUAUCCACUUGCUAUGCAUUUUCAGUGGGUGAUUGAUUGGGUGGCUAUGCCAUUGGAAUUAUGGUGCAUGAAAUAUCUUGUUUUGACAAAAGAGAAGAGUUUUCAAACUAUAUUGAAGAGAGAGCUUUAAAGAUGAAGAUCAUGGAAAGAAUAUGUAGAUUUAUUUUUGAAGAUAUCUUUAGCAAAUAUGAUAGCAACAAAAAGAUGAAGGUUAAUUGAGGAGAAUUGAAUACAACAAAGGCCAAAGGUUUUUUUUUUUAAAGAUAUGGUGUAAAUUUGAAGCUUACAACUGCUUAUAAUCUUAAGACUAAUAGUAAGAGUAAGAGAGGACAUUCUUCCAUCAUUUAUUCUCUUAUCAAGGCCCAUAGAGGUAAGUCAAGGUAUAGGCCAAGAACAUUUGCUUUAUCAAUAGAUAGAACCACUCAUAGCAAUGUUAUUGGUUAUAUGCUUAUUGAGUUAAUGUUGAGCAAAAAGCCAAUUAUGCUUAUGGAGGAUUUUAUGCCUACUUGGAUGUUGUUGAAUUGAAAGGAUAACAUUGCAAGAGAGUGAUUAUUGGAGCUUUUGAUUCAAUAGCUUUAAAGAUUACUUGAAGAUCAAGAGAUUUCAUUAGAGAAAAUAAGGCUGCCAAGUUGAACAUCAAAGAGGUUUGAGAAAAUUCAUUGUUUGAGAUCUAAACCAAUUGAAGUUGAAAAUUGAGUGUUAAUAUUUGAUAGUAGUUUAGAGCAUUAACAUAGCAUUCUUAGGAAGUUUGCUUGAAUAUGGUUUGGACCAUAUAUGGUAGUGGUAAUGUAUAACAAUGCCACCCAUUUGCUUUGUGGGUUGGAUGGUACGAUUUUGAAGAUAUAUGUAGUUGAAAAGUAAAUCAAGGCAUUCAAGAGAAGAGAUGGAAAAAUUUAUUCCAAGUAAUCUUUCAGAUUUUGAAACAUUAAAUCUGGACCAAAUGGAAGACAAACAAGUAGAGAUGAUGAAGAGGACAAGGAUGGUUAAAUUGAAACAUGCCAAAAGAUGUACAAGUUUGGAAGAGAUUGAUGUUAUGUUGAAAAGUAGGAUAGUAUAUAAAAAUAAUGUAAAAUGUUAUGAAAGUUUAGAUAAUAAUUAAAAAUAAAAUAAAAUAUUUAUCUAAUUUAUUUAAAUUUAUAAUUUAAAUUUUAGUAAUUAAAGAUAGAGGUUGUACGAUUUAUUAGCAAGGAAUUUAGAUGGACUUUGGUGUCAAAAGUAUAAUAUUUUGACUUCUAGGCCAUCCCAUAUAGAAGGAUAAGGUAAGUGAUAGAGGAUUUCAUUCUCAUUGGUUGAAAAUCAUGUCUAAUAAGCUUUAAGAUGUUAUCUGGGAUUACAUUAGAGUUUUGGACCAUUUUAGAACAAUCCAUUCAAAGCAAGGCAAUACAUUCUAAGUUUAGAGGUUGGAUUUCAAAAGCUUGUGUUUUAAGCCAGAAUUUGGAUAAAACAAAUAUGUGAUUUGAAGUUUAGAUGAGAGAAAAAAUGAUUUUUUGAAGUUAAGGUGUAAACUUAGUAUCUAUUAUUAUUCUUUUAAGUCUAUAAAGAAUUUUAAAAAAACAUUCAAGAAUUAAAAAGUGAGAUUAGAAAGUUCACUUAAAGAGCUAUAUUUUAUGUGAAGAAAUGGAUACAUUCCAAUCUAGAAACAAAAAAGAGAGAGCUAUUGGAAGUUAGUAUUCAAAAUUGGAGUUUGUAAGUAAGUUGUUUUUUAAUAGAGGUCUUAGUUUGGACCAUAUUUUAAGUUUUUGGAUGAAUAUUUGGCUCGAAACUUCCAUAAGUGUAGAUAACUAUGUUAAGAAGUUGUAUAUGAAAAAUUCAUAGUAUUUGAAUAUUGGUUUUUUAUAUUAUAAUGGAAUUAUUGAGUGGAUGCUUAAAAAUUGACAUAUUUAGUAUCAACUAAUAAUUUGGCGAUAUUCAAAGAUUUAUAAUGAAUUUAUGGUUGAUUUUUUGUAUGGAGGUAGUCAAGGAUAUAAAUUGAGGUUGUAGAGAAUUUUAAAUCCAAUUAGAUGGUUAGAUUAAAAUUUAUUAAAUGAUAUACAUUUGAAAGGGAUUCCCAUAAAAAUAGAAGUGAUUUUUAGGAAAUCUAGUUAUAUCUUGGAAAUUUUCAUGUAUCCUAGACUUGUGUAUUUGAUGCAAUUUUCUUCUUAAAGACAAUAUAUAAAUGAUAUUUGUAUUUUCUAAACUUGCAACUUGUUUAAGUAAUUAGUAGCAACCAAAGGCUAAGCACUUUCUUGAGGCGAAAUCUCUCUACUACAACAAUAGGAGAAAAGCUAGGAAUAGAGACAAGAUUGAAAGAAUACAAUGAUGGUUUAAAUAUAUGGAAUGAUUUAAUAAAAAAUUAGAUUUUUUUAUCAUUUUUUUAUAAAUAAGUAGAAAUAAAAAUAAAUAAAUAAAUAAUUUAAAUGAUAUCUUAUAGAAAAAUAUCUUAGAAGCUUAUAGAUGCAAAUUGUCCUUUAUAUGUGUUUAUAGGUGAUUAAUAGAUUGAAAACUUGGCCAACAAGUUGGCCACAUUGUUCUCUUAUGUAAAAACUAAUUUGAAAAUGGAUUAGGCAUUUAAUUGUAGAAAGUAAAUUAUAUUUACAACAAAAAAAAUCUAAAAAUUUUAAUAAAAAUUUAAAUAAUUCUAAAUUAAGUCUUAAUAAUUAUAGUAAAAUCUUAAUCAAAUCAUAAAGAAUGUUAAAGAAAUCUAAAAUAAUCAUAAGCUAAUCUAUAAAAAAAACAUCAAAAAAAUUAUAAAGAAUAUUAAUAAGAAAUCUUAAAUUUUUUCUAAAGAAUUUAUAAAGUAAUCAUGAAGAAAUCCUUAAAAUAAAUCAUAAAUGAUUUUUAAAGAAAAUUUAAAGAAAAUCUUUAAAAAAAAUUAAAAUAUUAAAAAUAAAAAAAUUAAAGAUUUUAUUUUUUAUUAAAAAAUAAUCCUAAAAAAACUAUAAAAAAACCUUAAAGAAAUUCUAAAAUGAAUAUUAAAUAAUUUUUAAAUAAAUCCUAAAAAUAAUCUAAUCAAAUUCUAAUAAAAUCCUAAAUCCUAACAAAUUUUAAAAAGAUCCUAAUCAAAAUCCUAAAUCAAUGCUAACAAAUUCUUAUAAAAUUCUAUCCAAAAUCUAAUUAAUUCUAGAAUAAUCUUAAAAAUUUAAUAAACAUUGAUGAAAAUAUUGAUAUUAUUUAAAAUAUUACAAAAUUUUAAUUUAAUAAUUAAAAAAAACAUAAUUUAAAAAAAAUCUAAUUUAUUGAUGGAAAAUAUAAAAUGAAAUAAAAAUUUAUUAAUACUUUAGAUGUUAUUCAUCUUAUUGCUUAAAUCUUAAUAUUGAUUUAUCAAUGGCAAUAAAUUCUUAUUAAAAUAUUUAUUUUCUUCAAAAAAAUUUAAAAAUUUAUUAAAAAUUAAUUUAAAAACUUGGUCAUAAAUGUUUUUUGAAUUCAACUAGCAAAUUAUUUAAGAUCACAAAAAUCCUUAUUGAUCCUUGACAUCCAAAUUACAUGUUCCUUGGCAUCCAAAUUAAAACUUGUUGACCAAGUUUCUAACCUAUCAAUCAACUAUAAAUACAUGUAAAGUCAAAGCAACAUCUAUAAAGCUUGUCUAAUAGAUAUUAUGAAAUUAACUUAUUUUUACUUAUUUUUAUCUACUUCUAUCUAAUUAUAUAGGUAUUUAUUAGAAUACCUAUGUAUAUCCAUGAUAAUAAUACGACAACAUGGCAAUGUCUUAUAAGACCUCUAAAACAUGUUGACUUUACAAGACAUGUAUCUCAACUUAUAAGACAAGUUUUCUCUAUGUAUGCCACAUAAUUAGCUUGUUUUAUAAGCUCCCAACAUCUUAACUUGCUGACCAAGUUUCUAACCUACUAAUUAAUUACAAAUACAUGUAAAAUUAAAGUAGCAUCUAUGAAGCUUUCAAGAAGCUUUUAAAAAAUACAUUAUGAAAUAAAUCUAUUUUUACCUACUUCUAUUUAAUCAUAUAGGUAAAUAUUAGAAUAAAUAUGUAUGUCCGUGAUACUACAAUUUGUGGAACUAUAGAUUGGAUGAAUCUUGUACAAGCUUUAUUAAUGCAUGCCUAUAUCAUUAAAAACCAAUAUAAUGCUUUAAUAAAAGAGAAGAAGUGGUGAAAUUUUGAAGACAUAAGAAAAGGAAGUACUUUCAAGAAACAAACUUGAGGAGAUAAGGCUCGUGAAAAAGCUUCACAAAUAUUACUAAUAGGAAAUGCCUCAAUAGCAUUAAAAGAGAAAAUAAAAGGCAUAGGAGACAAAUGUAAGUCAAUAAGUCAUAAACUACUUUCUAAUAUUAUUUGAAGAACAUGAGCUCAAUGCUAAGGUUGAGUUUAUAUUAAAAGAGAUUUUAAAAAUUACCAAAAAAUAAUUCUAUGAUAUCAUUAUUGACAAUAUUAAGCAAAAGAGGCAAUUCAAAGGUGAAGAUAGAUUGAAUCAUAUUAUUGAUGCACAUAUAUGUAAGGAUGAAGAAGAUGACUUUGGUAAUUAUUGCAAACAAUCAAUAAGUGAGGAAAAAAGUCAAAAUCAAAGAAUAUAUUUUAAUAAUCAAAGUAAUAAGGAUAACGAGGUUUCAAGUUAUUAUACUUAAAAGUAUUGGAUUAGAGUAACUAUAGAGGCAUUAAUAAAGGUGAGAAAUAUGGACAACCAGUUGUUACUUUGAUUGACCAUGGUUUGAAGAUAAAUUUUAUGUCCAAGGAUCUUUAUGUAAAGCAAAUGUGGCUAAUUGAUAUGAAGUAUGGAUAGGUAACAUAGACAAUUAAUAAUACAUGAUGUAAGUUAUACAAUGCUUUUUUAAAUGUAAAAAUUUGAAUUGGUGAUGUUGCAAUAGAGAAAAAUUUCUUUUUUUAAGAUGCAACAUCUUAUCUUUUCAUUUUGAAGCAACCAUAAAUUAUUGCAACUCAAAUGAAAAUAAAGGUAUUUUAUGAUUGUUCAUCUUAUUUUGAAAGUAAAUUUUUCCUAUCAACUUAAAUUACAAGAUAGCCUUAAAUGAGAGUUGCUUCUAAUUAGUAGUAUAAGUAAAAGUAGCAAAAAUAAGAUUAAAAGAAGCACAACACAAAACAAGUGAAAUAAGUACUAUUCACUAUAUAUUCUAAUUUUAAGUACUUUUAAUGCAUCUUUUCAUUCUAAAACAACUAAUGAAUUGAUUUGAUGAUUCACACUUAUAUACAAAUUUAUAGUAAAGAUAGAAGAAUGAUAGUAAAAUUUUUGGUUAUGCUUUUAUAUCAUGAGCAAAAUCAAAAAAAUUGAGAGAAAAUCCAUUACAAAGGGUUGUUGAAGAAUUCAAGGAUUUUUGGAAAAAUACCACUAUUAAGUAAGAUUAUAAAGGUACAAAAAGGGAGGUACUUUUAUAAGAUGUAGGUACCUUUGAUGCAAUAUUUAUUGUCAUUUUUAAGAAUGGAAAUAUUAUAUAUAAGAAGAUUGAGGAUUUAAAAAAAAUGAUUAUAUACUAUUAAAAAAGAAUUAUGUAGGUUAAUAAUAUUAGAAGAUAUUGAAAAGAUUAUUAGUGUUAAGAGAAAGAAUAUGGAUUGAAAAAUCUUUUGAAGUUGAUUGCAUAUAUUAAAUUAGGUGACAUUGAUAAAAUUGUACAAAUUUACUUGAGAGAAGUUUAUGAUAUGAUUGAAUCUUUUAAGCAUCAAAGAUUAUAGUUGAAAUAAAAUAUAAGAAAAUGGAUAAGAAGGUGAAACUCAUUAUUAGACCUUUGCCAAAAGAUUUUAAAGAAUAGAUAGAAGAAGCAUAAAAAAUAAAGAACUUAAGGGAUCCAAAGAAUAUUAGACAUAAGUUCACUAAAGAGACUUUUAAAGAAUUGAAGAUUAAUUUUGAUGGUUCUUUAUUGCUAAAAAAAAUUGCAUACUUCAAAGAAAUAUUGGCAAAAUUAGAUAAAUUAUUUGCCUUUGAAUCUCAUGAAAUUCGGUAUCUGAACAAAAAUAUUGUAAUACUAUAGUUAUUUUUAUUAUACCAUAUGUACCUUGAAAUUUGAAGCCAAUUCUAGUGCCAAAGGCAUAUUUAUCAAGCUUGAUGGAAUUAUUGAAAGAAAAGAUGAAGAUAAAGAUUUUAAAGCCUUUUUUUUGCACCAUAUUCUAAUCAAUGGUUCAUAGUGCCUAAAAAAAAUAAUUCAUUAUAGUUUAUUCAAGAUAUGUAGUUAGUGAUUGCGGCGGCUAUCAAGAACAUAGGAAUUGAAUUGAUGGUGGAUGAAUUUGCUAAAGCAUUUGUACAAAGAGCAAUCUAUUCAAUGGAUGAUUUGUCUUCAUGCUAUGACCAAUUUUAACUUACAAAAGAGAAUAGAGAUGCGACAACAAUGAGAACAUUACUUGGGUUAGUUAGAAUAUGUACUCUUCUUUAAGGUAUUACUAACUCACUUGUGCAUAUGAUGAAUAAAAUGAAUAAGAUAUUGAGAGAUUUUAUUAUUUAGAAAAUUAUGGUUUUUUAAAUAAUGUUUCUAUUAAAGAAUGCAAAAAAAAUAAAUAAAUAAAACUUUAGAAAGGAUGUCACAAGUAUAUUAUUAAUUAUAUAUAAGAUUGUAAAAAAAUAUUGGCUCAGCUUGACAAAGUUUAUCUUACAUUAUUAGAUGCAAAAUCUACUUUAUGUAUUAUGGACUGAUCAAACCACAUAUAAUUUAGUGAUAGGACAUAUGUAAGUGCAACUCAUGACAAGUCAAAAAUCUAUUAUGCCAAUUGAAGAAGACGUGCCAAUUUAAAGUAUGUUACUUUAAGAAGAUGGAUUGACAAAAGAAGAGUUGUUGCUAUUAGAAUUUGGCAACUAGAACAAAUAUCAAAAGAUGUAGAGCUAGCAUUGAAAAGAUUAAAAAAAGCUAGGCUAAAAAAUAAGGCUCGAUUUGAUAAACAACAUUGAUUGAAAUCUAGAGCAAUUGAAAAGAUGAUUGGAUACUUUUUUAUGAUAAUAAUUUGGAUAAUCAACAUAGUAGUUUGUGGAAGUUUUUAAAAUAUUGAUUUGGGCCAUAUAUAGUGGUGACAAUCCAUGAUAAUAUCACAUAUUCAUUAAAAGAAUUGGAUGAUAUAAGAUUAAAGAUAUUUGUUGCUAAGAAGCAAGUGAAGAUUUUUAAAAGACAAAAUAGAGAAAUCAAUGUAGAAGAUCAUACUAAAGAUAUCAAUAUUUUUUGAAGAAGAUAAUUAUAUUAAAAUAGAUGAUGAAAAUAAUAAUGAAGGAUUUGAUGUAAAAAAUGAAGAAAUAGUGUGAUGCCAAUUAUGACAUAUGGUUCAUUUAGCACAUAUUAGAAGAAGAAGAUAUUCAAAAGAGGUGAAUGUAUCGAGGAUAUGAAUCUCAAAAAAGAGAAUCAUGGAUACACUCUUGUAUCAGUGAAGAGAACUAAAAAGUCACUCAAAAGGUAAUGUAAUAUUAACUAAAAUAGCUAUUGCCAAAAACUAGAAAACUAGAAAGUCUUGAAACAAGACUAAGGACUAAAAAGGCAUUGAGAAGAGUGAAGAAGGCUUCACUCUUGCCUCCAUAUAUACUCUUAACUAGGAGCUACAUAGCAAUGUCUUAUAGGACCUUUAAAACACGUUGACUUUGCUAGCCACAUGUCUUAACUUACAAGACAAGUUAUUAUGUAUGUGCCACAUGGAUAGCUUGUUCUACAAGCUAAUAUACAGAGUGAACUUGUUCCAUAAGCUACCAACACAUGGUUAACUUGUUGGCCAAGUUUCCAACCUAUAAACAUAUCUAAAGUCAAAACCGCAUCUAUGAAGCUUCUAGGAAGCUUGACUAAAAGACUUUAUAAAAUUAAUCUAUAUUUACCUACUUCUAUCUAAUCAUAUAAGUAAUUGUAUAUGUCCGUGAUAGAAUAUUAUAUUAUAAUAUAACUAUAUGAUAAAAACAUAAUCAAAAAUAAAUUUCUAAUUAAUAUCUAAUUAAUUUGAUUCAAUAAUAAUUCAAGUUAUUUAAAUAUGGCUUUUAUAAAAGUCUCUUAUUUUAUUUUCUUAUCUUAAUAGCUAGUAGAUUAAAGAUUGGUUAGUUAUUUAACUUUUAGGCUAUAGAAAUUCUUUUAUUGCCUUAAAAAGACCAUAAAUUGGUAAAAAUAGAAUAAAAGAGAUAAAUAAUUAGUAUGAAUGAUACUAAGAUUAACUUGAGGAUAUAAUCGAGCUAAAAAAAUCCUAUGAUAGUUUAAAUUGAUAUCCAUGGAUCAUCUAUUUGUGAGAUAAGAUUAAAAUCAAACCUCUAGCAAUUUAAAAUAGUUGCAUAGGGCAAAGUAUGGAGAUAUUUGGAGAUCAAUAAUUAAGAUUAGAGAGCUAGCUUCAAGCUUCUUUUCAUAAAGUUUGAAAUGACUUUGUAAUUAUUAUUCAAAUUUAAGGUUUGUAUUGGAGACUUUACAUUUAUGGAAUACAAUUAGGGCUAAUACUUUCAAUUAGUUCUAAAAAAAAAUCUUUCAUUCAUUUGCAAGUAUUCAAAGAAAAAUUCAUCUAUAUUUGUUAAAUGAUUAAGCUACAAUUAUUUUUCAACAAUAGGAACUAAUAAAUUGUAUUACAAAACUUAUAAAGUAAUAAAUAUUAUCAUUUCAUAUAUUAAAAUGUAGUUUUCAAUAUUUACGCCUAUAUGAUAAAUAUUUUCUAAUUUUCCUAUUUAUUUAUUUAUUUAUUUUUAUACCAUAUUACAUUAUUUCAUAUAAUAUUUGUUUCCAUGGUGGCUUGCUUCAUGUGCCCCUUCAGUAAGUGAACCCUAAUUACCUUACAAGAGUCUGGGCAACUCUUUUUGUCAUAGAUAAUGAGCAUUGUGCCACCAUUUGCAUUUCUUCAAGGUAAUGAAUCUUCCUUCUACCCCCUACUCAAUCCUCCACUAACCAUGUUUUUCAAAAGAAAAUAAAUGUUGCUAUAAUAAAUGUGUACAAACAUGUAAAAAACAAAACAAACAAACAAACAAAACAAAACGAAGAACCAAAAAAAUUACCAGUCAUGCUUGCUUUCUUUAUAUGUUAUCAAAUCAUAGACAUUUUUAAUUUGAUUAAAUUACUGGCUUAGAUAAUGUGUGUUUGACAGUAAAAGGUCCUUACACAUUGUAUAUGUAAUUUCUUUGUUGUUGUUGUUAUUGUUUUUUUUAAAUUAUCAGUUGUACACAUGUGGUCAGAUGCCCCAAAUGAUAAAAUUCUCGUUUGUGAUUUUAAAUUGAUUAUCUAAAUACCUGAUUAUAUUUAACUAUGUGGGAAUUUAUUUUUCACAGAUGUAAAGACAUAUUAGGUUUUUUUCUUUUUCUUUUUCUUUUUUAAAGUGCAGCAUCUCUAAUACUGACUAGAAUAAUACAUGUGAUUCAUCAGUAAAGAAUAAGCAGAAGUUGUGCAUUUUGUGCUUUUUUCCACAAGAAGAAUCUUAUAUUAUCAAUCAAAGAUAAGAUUUCACAAAAUAUUGGAUUUUAGGGACAAUAAUGUUGUGUACUAGAUGGAUGGUCAAUUGGUUUUGUAUUACUAGACUACACUGAUGAGCAUGCAUGUUGACAACUACAAACUUCUCCAUAUUCAAAUAAAGAGUUAGACAAAAUAUGGUGGGCCUAAAAACUAUUAAUAUCACUUCAUGAAGAUCAUAAUUAAUUUAACAAUAUGAUGUGCAUACUUUAAAAAAUAAAAUGUUAAGCACACAUAUCUAAACAAAAAACUUCCUAGUUAAUAUCAAAAUAUUGAAUUGUUACUUAGUAGAAUAUUAGUGUGAAUGCUAAAUAAAAUUAAAAUGUUAAAAAGAAAAUUGUUAACAUGUAAAAUAUUCUUAAAUGCAAAUACUUCUGGAAAAAUAAAAAUAAAAACGAAAAAAUCAAAUCAAAUCAAAUCAAAUAUCGAAAAAAAUUAAUGAUUAAAACAUGUGUACUCAUUGUUUAUUCUGAAAUGGUAAUGCUACAAGGUAUAAUUUAAAUAUAAAUAAUUGUAGUCAGAUUGUGAAGUAUCAAAGUGUGGAUCUUGUCUGAUAUUUUUGCAAUAAUUCUGGUUUUUUUAAAGUUGAAAAAUAAUUUUAUAAAGCAUUAAGUCAGGGAGUUUAGAGUAAAUUAAUCCAACAUAUCUGGAUUUGAUUUUUCCAAUACAUUAAACAUACAAUAUUGUAAAAGAGAUUCUAUUCAACUUCUAGCAUAUGUAACAAAUACUUUUUGUUUUUGUUUAUGUUUUUUGUAAAACAAUGAAUGGGAUUUUGAUACAUUGAUUUUAUCAAAUACAUACAAAUACAAAAAAUAACACACAUACAUUAAACUGAAAAAAAAUAGAAAAUCAGUCUUUUACAAACAGAGCUCAAAGUGACUACCAUCACAUGCACAUGAAUGUUUUAAAAAAGUAUGAUUUUAAAGAAACCAAAUCAUUCUUAUAGGUAAAAAAAAAAACAAUAAAGGCACAUUUAAGAAAGAAAGGAAGAUGGGAGUUAGAUUGAAAAAGUCACAUUUUACUUUCAUGUACGAUAGUAGUAAUAAAUUCACCCAACAAUCACCACAGUAUAAUGGAAGCAAGAAGUAGAAAAAGUCCUGAAGCAAGGACAAGUGUGAACGCGCCUUGAGGGGAGCAGAAAAAGUCCUGAAGCAAGGGCAAGUGUGAACGUGCCUAGAGGGGAGAAGAAAAAGUCCUGAAGCAAGGGCUAGUGUGAAUGCGUCUGUACGGGAGAAGGGACUCCGCCCAUACAUAACAAGCCCGUCUUGUAAUUAGAAUAAUAAUAAGAAUAAUAAUAUUAGACCUAUACUGGCUCCUUCUCCCGUCGUCGUCGUCGGCUGCUGUGCCUGUGUGUGUGUGUGUGUGUGUGUCUGUCUGUCUCUGUGUGUGUUGCUUGCUUGUCUUCGGCGUCAAUAAACGCGCGAGAGCGAGCUCCUCAGCAACUUCAACGUCCAGCGCCUUGUAACUUGAACCUAAUCCCUCUCAUUCAUGCUAUGGACGAGUGCCUGAAGCUCCUCCAGGGCACCAACGACGAGCAGCGUCUGGUAGGUCUCCUGCUGGCCACCAAAAUCGUCAAGGGCAACGACCUCCACGACGUGCGCCGCGUUUUCGACGCCAUCGGCUUCCCUUUCCUCAAUCGCUUGCUUCGAACUGGUGAGUGGCCUUCCGUGACUCUCUCUCGCUCUCUUUCUUCUGGAAUGCUGUUUUGUUUAACCUCUCGCAUGUUGUGGCCAGGGCAAACCACUCCCCGUGUUACUCGGGCUCGUUUUUUUAUUGCAAUUGGGUGCUGCUGCUGAUUUUGGCUCCGUUUCUUAAUCCUUGAUAUUGACCUCGAUCAGUGGAUUAAGAGGGUGACUUCGCUUGGUUAAAGAUCGAUGCCGCAUGAGUGUGUGCUUUUGCCUUGUCUGACAAACCUGUUUGCGGCCUCUUAGUCUUGGUUGAGUGCAGCUGUAGCCGGAUUCGUAGGAGAAUAGAGUUCUUUGGUGACAUUUUACUCGUGAAUUUACAUCAGGAGUUUUGUUUGUCAACUGAUGUAGCUUUAUCUGUAGCGGAAAAUGCUUGCAUGUUUUUUGGUUAGAGUCUCGAUCCCCUAGGGCGUAUUCUUAUUCAUGUUAGAACCCUUAAGUGCUCCUGUCUAACGAAAUUUGUGCGUGAUUUUAGGGUUUAUGGGAUGAAUUCUAGUCAUUUCCCUUGCGUCUUGAGCUACAUUGUCCCGUCUUUUUUCUCUGUUGGACGCUUUAACCUGAGAGCCCUUUGUAUAGGGUUAGUAGGAUUGUAGAAGGUCAUGCCAUUUGUAAUUAUCAUUACAAUUCGUAGUGCAACUUCACUUUGAGGACUGCCUUGCUGCCGUUUCAGGCCUUAGGUUCUCAUAUGCGAUGUAUUUAUUUAUUUUCUUUGCGAUUCUUCCUGUGAAUUGCACAAUUGGAGGGGUAUCUUUGGUACGCUGGAGCUCGGUUGCGUAUCUUGUUAUCUGUUACUCUUUAUGUUGGUUCACCGAAUUAUCACUGAUUUUGGUUUUCCGAAUAACUUCUUCCAUUGCCCGCCCACAUUCUGCUAUUUAAGAAUCUUGCGCUAAAUCAUGGAAUGAUCAUCUAGCUUUAUAAUUAUUCAAUUGAGAUCCAUUCUUGCAUAAAAGCAAACUGAGUGUUACCAGCUGGUACGUGGUAUGUGGUAUGCUGGUGUUGCUUUGAUUUAGACGCAUGUUACUGACGAGGUUUCGAUUAUUCUCCUAUUUUAUCACGCGAGGCAUCAGUGCAGAUGCAGCCGCUGUAGAGAUAUCAACAGGGAUUCGUUGACAGGCGUGUAUGACAAUAUUCGAGCUCAAUGAGUAUUGCAGGAGGGUGGUGAUAUAGAUAUGUGAAUGAAUAAUGGCUCAAACCGUAAGGUUUGGCAUCCAGCUAGUGUUUAUAUUUGUGCGGUGGCUGAUGUGGUCGAGCUCGCGAUGUUCCUGGUGAUUUUGAUCUGUCUCACCUUAUGUUGGAUGAAUUUAAUGCUUCUGUGGCAGGUACAGGGCAGGCAAGAGCAUCUGGUGGAGGGGAAGCAGUCGGACGCAAUGACAAAGAGCAGCAGCGGGCUUAUUUGCACUUGGCUCUCUCUAUUAUUUCUGCAUUUUGUCGUUUGCCGGAGUUUGCAGCGAUGGAUGAGACCAUCUGUAAAGUUCCCAUUCUUGUUGAAACUUUAUCAAGCAAGUAUAAUUUGCCUCCCUCUUUUUCCAUCGUCAUUACUUCUCUCUGCGUUUCUUCCAUGCUGAAAACUUUAUGUGAAGAAUUUAUGUUAUCUCCAUUUUAGGUCUUUUGUCAGGCAGGUGAAACUCAUCCGAAUGUGAUAAGAAGUGAUUAUGUCUUAACCUGUAAUUAGUUUUUUUGUAUUUUCUUAGUAUGUUUGUAAUCAACACUAUAUUUUUCGACAUUUUUUUUUUUUCAAUACUCAUGAUUUCUUAUUGCUUUUGUGUAUACUAAUUGUCAAUGUUAAGAGUGCGACCCUUGGUCAUGUUGGAGCUUGCAAGCGUCUUAAUAACCAAGUUUUUGUGGUUUCUUUGAUUUUUGUUGUUUACAAGGUUGACUUUAUUAUCAUCUGUGUCUUAACCAUCCUCAACAAUAUCUAUAAUAACGCAUAUCUUGAUAGAUAGUCUACCUGUUCAAUUUUUUUGGUUCCUGCGAUGUUGAAGUUUGUAUAUUAUGCUCAGGGAGGAUGAAGUCGCCGUUGGGGAUGCUUUGGAAUGCUUGCUAGCCAUAGGUGCAGGAUCAGACGCGGGACGAGAAUCUCUUCUGCAGAAGAACGUCUUAACUACAGUCGUACAUCGAUUGAACAUGGCAUCGCCAAGUACUAUAUCUUCAUCUUUUGACUGCUGUACCCUUCUGUUUUAUGGACGUCCAGCUAAUUUGAUUCUCGCUUCUCUUUAGUUGUUGCUUAUUCUCUGGCAUCUCCUCCUCUUCAUGUUAGUCAAGCUCUACUUCCUGUAGUGUUCAAGGAUCAUUUCUUUUUAUUGUAUAUCAUGAUUAGAACGUAUCAUACAGGCUCUGUUUUUUUGCGAAUACAGAUGCAAAUUGGACACCUCUAGCAGUCAGGUUAAUAUUGUUUAUGUUUACUACAACGGGAGUUAUACAGGAGGCCAUGAUGUGCUCACAAGAACUGGCAACUAUGGUAAGAGGCAUUUCUUCUUGCUCUGUUGCAAUUUAGAUGAUAAUUUGGGCCACAUCGUCUUAUGGAUGUUCUUAUUAUACUGAUUCUGGAAAAGAUAUUUGUUUGGCUUUUCCAAAGGUCAGUUCUUCAGCUAUUACAGUGUAUAUGUGGUAUAUCUUUAGUUAUUAUUCUAAAUGUUUUUGUGGCUUGUUUGUCAGGUUCCCAUUGUAGCAAGACAGUUAGUUUUUCAGCAGGGUGUUUUCAAGUUUGAAGCACUGUCUCUUCUUCACUAUUUGCUUGCAUCAGAAUACUCGGUAAUUGUUUGCUUGAUCGUUUGUGGGUCUAAGAAUUCUGUCUAAUUAAGCACCGUAUUUAGGGAAGUUUUACAAGAAGACUCUAUUCUUUGUUGCAGCAUUUAUACAUGUGCUGUUGACUUCGAGUGUCUUUCCUUUUGAUUUCGUAUUUAUACUUCGUCUUGAUUGAGUUGCAGGCACCUAUUCGACUUGCUAUUCAGAACGCUUCUCUAAGUUCUGAUUGGCAUGCUAAUGUACGUUCCGGACUUGGAGUUAUUUUAAACAAUCGCGUGGGUAGGCUAAAGCUCUUCACUCUCUUCAUUGCUUGGACAGUCUUUGCCUCAUUGUUCCUUUCUAGGUUUCUGUACCUGCCUUCUUGUUCGUUGUUGCACACGUGGUGAAUUUUGAAAGGUUUGAAGUGAGUUUUUUCUUUGGCAUUAUCGUAGCUAUGCGUUUCUGUUCAUUUAUUAUGAACUUUUUGUAUGGUUUAAAUAUUGCAGAUUCCGUCAUGAGCUUUAAUUGUGUUGAAGUCCUGAGUUCCUUGCUUAAAUCCAGAUUAUCAAAUUGGAAAGUCGAGACAAAAUAGGUCGUGAAUAGAGCACGUGUUUAUGUUUUUCCUGCUUCAGCUCUUUCUUCAGCUAUUAUUAGAAUUUCAGUCAUUUUAUAUCUUCUGAUGUUUGCUGCCAUAUGGUGGGAACAGUGGCAGAAAAGAGACAAUUGGCAUUGGAAGUCAUAGAGGCUAUUGUAGAAAUUAUUGGAGAGCCUUGGCUUUUGGGGCCAAUGGUUGUUCCUGAAGAUCAGAAGCCUGUUCCAUUAGACAGGUGAUUCCAGUUUUUUCCUGUGUGUUUCCGGAUGUCUUAACGUUCAGAUCACACUAAUAGAAACUUCAAGUUAUUUUGCCCUUCAAGAUUGUAUGCCGUAGUCUCUUUUCAUAAUGCAUUACUUUUCCAAGGUUUAAUAUUAUUUGAUUGGAGUAGUUUUCUUUGGUGGUUUGGUUUAGGAAAUCGUUUUUCUGGAUCUUUAUCUAGGUUGACAACAAUGAAAUAGCUUUUGGUUUUCUAACCGUUCUUAUUUUUCCGCUAAGAAAAUCUAGUUUUCAAAAUCAGGUUCUUUAUGCUGGUGGUAGAGACUCUGAGGAUUGAGACUGCAGUACUCUUAAAUGAAGUUGCAAGGAAAAUGUUUGGUUCUGGAGGUCAAACUACUCAAGUGGCUGAGUCUGCUGGGAAGCAGCAAGGGCUGGCAACUUAUCUCGCACUCCUGGAGCACAUCGUCAAUGUUGUAGUUGAACAACAAGGUGAAUCUACUAUUGUCUAUUUGGUUUAGCGCAAAAGUGUUUAUGCAAUGUAUCAUUAUAGUUGAUUAGGCUUUAUCCAUUGCCCCUUAUAUCAUUUUUGAGGGUUUACUGAUAUUCAUGUUCAGAUGCAUCAGGGAGGUUGAAGGAGUCUACGCUAGAAUUUGCGUUUGCUGCAUUAACCGAGGUUAUAGGUUUGAUUCUUGAGUUUCUUGAGGAUGCCCAGGUUCGCUAUUCAAACUGUGCCCUUUACUUUCGUUAAUAAAACAUAACCUUUUUUUAUUAUUAUUUUUGGUUUUCUCCUUGAUUUUGUGUUGUUUUGUUGUAUUGUUGUCUCUGCAUAAUUACUUCUUUGAAUCGGAAUAUUUCACUCUUAUAAACAAUGCUUGAUGCAAAAGUUUAGAGAGAAAUAAGUCGAGUUGAUAGAGGCAGACACAUCUUCUUCAUCAAAUUCUCUUGUAAUUAUACAUUUCCGUUUCUUGAAAUGGAAGUCGUACCUCACUUGUUUACUUUGGGUUUGCACAGGAUAAUGAUGUUACAUGUGGAGACUUGCUCUUAGGUGUUGUUCGAUUGUUGGGAAGGUUAGUGAUGCGUAUCUUAAUUUUUUUGAAGUUAUAUAGCCUCGAGUAUGUCUUGAAGCAAAAACAUUGACUAACAAUUAAAUGUUAUUUAAACAUCAUGACCGUAAAGUUUUUCAUGUUGUCUGGGUAGAGUAUCUGAAUUUAUGAGGUCAUGAGUUGCCUGGUGGUAAUUUUGAGCUUCUACUCGGUUUAUCUUGCCACCAUUAGUUCUUCUAUCACAUUUAUUGUGUCUUUGUAUUGGGCGCUUCCAGGUACUUGGCGGAAAAUCCCAUUGCUCACCGACAUUCUGUAUCCAAGCUACUCGCAUUCCUGCUCACUGUUACUAGAGAGGGACAAGAUGGGUAUGUUCACAUCAAGAUUUUCGCUUACAAUCAUCGGGUGGUUUGAAGUCAUUGUUCUGCUAGCUAAUUGUUGAAAUUGGAUCACUGUUGUGUAUCCUCAAUUGUGUUGGUUUCAUAGAAAAUCACCUUAUUGUUAUUUUUGCUUCGUACAUAAAUUAUUCGACUCAAGCAUGGUGUCCUUGUGUUAUAUGGAGCAAGGUCACUUAUAUAUUUUGUUGUUCAGCCGCACAUGAAAUAUUUUUCUGACUGUUACGAAAACGAGGUAGUUGAAGAAGCAUGUUGCAAACAUACUCCAUAGCGUCUUUCAUCGUAAUUGCAACGAAUGUUUCAGCAUUAUUUGUCUUAGUAUUCACAUACUGCACGACGCCCAAAUUUGUGUGCUUAUUUUCUCUGUUGCACGAUCUGUUGUCAUUCCGGUGGAAAUGUAUGAAUCAAACUCCAAUUAUCUUUCUACCAAUCUGAUUGGAUAGCCAAUCGGAGUACUCUCAUUAUUUAAUUUUAAAUGUGCUGAUUAAUGUGCAGGUCUUAUGAAGCCGUCUGCUUCAUGCUACCUGCAUUAUCCCAGAUUACCACAGAGCUUGAUGGUUGCAAAGCUUUGGUUUUUUGUGGAGGUCAUAAGCAGGUCAGUUCCAUGCUUGCAACCAAUUUCACUUUUUCUUUCAUUCUUCCGGCGCAACUCUUACCCUUGGUGCUCAUUUGUGCGAAGAUUAUAUUGUCAUUGACUCUAGGCUGCAAAAUCUUAGCCUUUGGUAGAAUAUGGUUCCAGAACUGGCAGCUUUAUAAUCUUGCAAUGAAUCUUUACUGUUAUUGAUGUUUGUAAGGAUACAAUGCGCAACAUAGUUUGCAAUACUAUUUCAUCUUCUCACGAUUGAAUUAUUUCUGCUGCAGAUUGUUCAAUUUGUGCGUGUAGCAACAGAAACAGGCGGGUUAGAUUCGCGUGCUCCAAUAAUCGAUGCUUGUGACACACUUUUGAACCUCCUUAUUAAGGUAGGGCAACUAGUUGCGUCGUUUCCGGUGGAUGUAGCCGCGCUGUUUCUGCCUCGUAUUUGCAUGACUAGUUUCAAAUUUCUUUUUGGAUAUAUGCACUAAAAGAAUAUUUAAACUUGCUUUGAAUUGUAGGGUCGGAUAUAUCUUGUGCUGAAUUGCAAAUUAUUUCUUCGUUUUUAUGAUUUUUGAUGCAAGUAUCUAUGUGUAUGGAGUGGUCUGCAGCAAAAGGAUGGUUUAGGGAGUGCUAUCAAAGUUGCGGACUUCAUUCCUGCAUUGCCAUCUCUAGCCAACUGGGCAGGUUUGUUCUUUCUCGGUCUGUUGCCUCACUCUUGCAUUAUAUGAAUCACACUGUGCUUUGUCAUUUGUCGUUCUAUUUGAUUUUGCAUUCUGCACAUAUUAUAUUCGCUUUAAAAUGGUUUAGGAUGGCUGCCCAUUUCUUCAACCACCACUUCGCAAGUGUCCUUUUUGAUCUAUAACGUAUGAUUGCAAGAAAUUGUAUUGAGUUGUACCAUGUGCACUUGAUUGUAUUUUUUCAAUCAUUGAUAUUUUUUUGAAGAACGAAUGUGUCGUCUCUAAAGAAAAAAUUAUGGCUGCCCUGGUUCAGUGCAAGGAAAGCAGGUGAUGGAGUGUGCGUUGGCGGCAAGUCUAUGCACUAUGGUUCUUGGGCUGACUAACGAAGAAGCUCUUUCACAAUACCCCGGGUUUGGUCCUGUUGGUCUGCAUACUGUUUUUAAAUUGAUAUUGAUGAAUCUGGAACGAUGCCAAAGGGUGAGAAUUUGAUCUUAUGUUUUUUUGUAAACAAAAUUUAAACUAGAUCUGAAACUAUUUAAUAUACGUUCCAGAGCAACUGCAGCGUAUCGAGUGUUUUUGGUAAUUGCGACUCUUAAUAUCAACUUUUACCAACUUACAACCAUGUUUUGAUGCAGGCAGAGAGGUUAGAGGAACCGGCCGAAGAGGAAGAUUUAUGGGAUAUUAUUGUUACAGGUACGUCAAUUAAAUACAAUACUUCCAAUCCACAGCUACAAGAUGAAAGUCCUAGUUCCUUUUAGUAUUCUCUCGAAUGAUUCGGUUCUUAUCUGUAUGGAUGCAGGAUGUUCACAAUAUAUGCAACGUUACCCAUCUUUCAAAAAUAUGAUCAAAGAUUCAGCUUGGCUACAACGCUUUUUGGGGAAACGGUAAUUCUCAUACCAUAGUGAUCUCUCUUUUAUUCGUUUGCAAGUGGAGGUUUUGGAAUUGAUACACAGUUUGAUCAUUACACCAUCAUAUUUCAGGUAUGUUAGGAAGCUGAAAACAGGUUGCACCUUAGCUGCCUUUUGUUACAACCUUGGGCUCAUGAAGCGAAUUUUUACUAUCAGAAAUGAAUUCAUGAGUCCUGAGCUUUAAGUGUACUUCGCUUGUUCCUUUGACAGACCUAUGACUGCAACAAUGGAGGAGGUGACAAGAAACCCUUCGCUACAGUUGUUGCUAACGAGCAUAUAUACCUCUUGAAAAUUCUUUCGAGACGGUAGGCGUCACAGCAUCGCGAAUGCAACGAGGGAGCUGACUCUUUUGUUCAGUUUAUGCUCAGUACGUUUUGUCUACAAUUUAAACAGACACUGGAUAAAUAUGUUGCUGUAUACAUAAGCGUUCAGAUUUUUUCUUUUCUUUAUUUAGGGUUGUAAAGAAAGCUGCAGCAGUAUCAUUGGCCUUCAUAACCUUUAUGAUGGCAGACCCGCAUGUUUAAAUCACACGAAUAUAGAUAUAGUUGAGAGUUCCUUUUUCUCGGACGUUACAGGGUAAUGUUGCAAACACAAACUGCUUGUUUUUUGGUCAAAACGUGCUUCAGCACUUGGUGCACUUGCUUCGGUGGCGUUCAAGCGUAUGAUACUGCAUAACAAUAUGAGUUACUGCAGACAAGCCGUAUGCAUAUAAAAUUCACUUCUGUUAUGAUUCACGGAGAAAUUGUUCUCUAUUGAAGAUUGUUCACAUCUUUGUUAAUGUUAAAUAGCAUCUACUAAGUUUUAUUUGAUUAGUCUCUGUGCGUGAGUGAUACUUUCAAGAUCAAAGGAAUACUACGGUCGAUUUCGUCAAAAUCUUAGGUUGCAAGUGCUUGUUAUUACUCAAUUGACCUUAAAAAAAGGGACUCAAUUAUUGUUAUGACCAAUUCAACUUUUUAAAAAUAAACUACCAUUCUUGAAAAUACUAACAAAUAGUUUGCAAAGAGUUGUAUUUGACACUUAAAAUCACCUACAAGUAUAUGAAUUUUUUUAAAGAAAAGAAAAUUAUUCUCAGAAAUGCAUGUAGAUAAUUAUAGACUAAUUUUUUUUAUAUUUUAUUCCUAAAACUUGUAUAUUUUACUAUUAAAAUAAAGUUCAAAUCAAUUCUAAGCUAGAUUUGGAGAGAAUAUAAUUUAAAAAGUUACAUAUUUAUAAUUUGAUGUAUCAAAUCAAUUAAUGACUACAACGCAAACUAACUAUGCCUAUUUUAAACACAAUGUCAUGCUUUUUGCAUACAUAAAUGUAGUUAUUUCUUUCUAACAUUUUAUAUGUAAUAUAUUUUGUGAAUUCAAAUAUAUAUGUUUUUUAGUCAAUAUUCUUAUCUAUUUCAAACACAUCAAAAAAAAAUAUGUAUAUGUAUGUAUAUAUAUAUAUAUAUAUAUAUAAAUUGUAUUACAAGAGCUUAGUAAUACACAAUCUUGUGUAGCUACAGAAACAUUCAAUUAUGCACUUAUAGUUGUUUUUAUCUAAAUAUAAAAUCUGAUAGUAAGUAAAUACUGAAAGUUCUUGUGCCAUGUGGUUUUGAGAAUAUUUCAAGUUGUGGUUUUAAUUUUUUUAUAUUAUUUCAUUUCCAACUCUUAAAAAUAACUUUUAUCAAUUAGAUCCAUACCUUGUUAAUAGGAAUGCAUAUAUAUAUAUAUAUAUAUAUAGUUUUUAUUUUCAUAUUAAGAUUAGAAUAAUAUUAUGUAUAAAAUAUCUAUAAUAAUUUAUACUUUUCUUUCAAUUUAUAUAUAUAUAUAUUUUAUAAUCCUAAUAAAUCUUGAAUAUUCAAAUGUAAUUGUUAACAAAAUUAUAUUUAAUUAUGUCACAAAUAAUAAACUAAAAUAAAAUAAAGAAAAUAGUCAUUAAAACUUGAUUUGAUGUGAUAUUGAUUUUUUCAUAUAUAGUGAAAGUAAAAUCAGAAAUGCACCAACAUACAUAUAUACAAUAACAUCUCAUUGUCAAAAUUCCUCCUCAUAUUAAUAGCUAAAAUGAAUCUUACUCAUUUGUAUAUUUACAAACUAAUUUAAUUCAAUGUGCAACUUGUGUAUAACAAAUCAAACAAUUCUUCACAUAGUUGUUAACUCAAAUAAUGGUCAUACAUAGAAUAGACACAUAAUUAAUAAUAUCAAAAUGAUUUCAACCAUUUACAAAAUUUUACUUUUUUGGACCUACAGGAAAUUCCACGUGACAUUAGUAGAAUAUAUCAUUUAAGGUAGCAAUUGAGCUCAACCAAUGACUUCAGCAAAGUUCAUCAAAUUUAAGCACUCAAUAACAUGAAAAAUCAUCUUAUCUGCUUGUAUUCGAAUGAUAGAUUUCAUCUGACAUUCGUGAUGUGUUUUGACAUCAGGUGAUUAAAACCACCAAUUCAGACAUGUGUUUAACUUGUUGCAGUUAUAGUUUAUUCCGAUUCGAUCAAAGCAGAUUCCGACUAAUCUCAAUAUAAAACAGGAUACUGAGUGGAAACAGCAACAUAUUCCAAGGAUCUCACAAUUCACGUGGGAUCCUGAUAAAUAUCAGAGCACUGUAGACUAUUUCAAAAAGAUGCUUAAUUCAUCAACGCAUGUCUACUUUCAUGAUCUUACGUUACAGUGUAGGCAACUGAUCCAACAAUGUAUAUGUAUUACUAGUUUUUCCUGCAGCGAUGUUUACUAGUCAAGUCGUCUCAUGUAAUUAUUUUUAUUCAAUCUAAAUUCUCAGUGUUAAUAAUUGAUAGGCUUGCAUACUUCUUGUAAAGCACUUGGCCUUGAAAUUCGGCUUGUUGAAGGAUUGGACUUGAAAGAACUUGGUGAAGACCAACCUCCAUGCUCAUUGAGAGCUGUCCUUCUCCAAUCUAGUUGCAAUGGAGCUUAGUCCCCAAUGCACAUCAGAUGGAGCUUAGAAUCAGGCUGGUAGCACGGAUUAGCAACUUCCAGUGCACUUUAGUAUUCACAACUUGUCUUGGCUCUGAUCUAUCAUGAUGACUGCCUUCUGACCACCAUGUAGAUGGAUCAUGGGCCCUAGAAUAAUAGAGGAAGUGGAACUAUGUCCUACUCUCCUCUACAUCAUUUAGUUGGCUCUACUUCCACUAAAGGAGUGUUUCACUAGCACUACAACUACUAAUACAACCACACUCAAGCUAGGCCUAACAACAUUAUCUGAAUUGACCUUUGAAGAUUAUAAAUCCAUAGAAAUCACAAUGGAUGCCUUUACUAUGUCUAAAUUUCUCCAUGUUGUCAAGUAAUCUACUAUUUGUAGAAACCACUUAGACUAGUUCAAAACCACCGUCGUAUUCCUUCAUUAGAUUAUUUCAAAUUGCAAAUAAAUAUUCUAGUAUUAAGUAGGUAAGAAAAAUGUAUACUAGAAUGAAAAAGAGAUAAUAGUAUCAGAGGAGGGAUAAUGCCUUUCUAUUCUCAUAUCAAGUGGAACUUUUCCAUUGCUAACACUAAUAAUACCAAUUGAUGAUCACCACCCACUAUAAGAAGAAUAAUUACAAAUUCUGAGGAUAACACAAGAUCUAGACAAUGCUAUUAAUUUGCCAUUGCAACCGUUGAGGUGUGGUAAUACAACUAUAUAGUAAAAAAUAUAAAUAUGGAUGUUAUUUUAGAAGAAACUACUAGAUAGAUGUAAUAGAAAAAUAAAGAUAAAUAAUAGAAAGGUAGUAAAAGAUUUAGUCUUAAUACCGCCUUUUAUAGAAGAGAUUUAUAAAUGUGAAUGCAAAUUUUGAGAUAAAUUAAUUAGUUAGAUUAAAGUAUAUGAGAGUUUUUGUAGAUUGAGAUCUCAAAAACUUAAGUUUAAAGGUCAGUGAAUAUUUCUAAGAUCUUUAGUAAUUUGUCAAUUAGAUUGAAGUGAUUUUAUUUUAUUUUAUGGAUACUAGUCUUGAUUUCCAAUAUUUGGAUAAAUUUUGAGAGCUAUUCAAUAAUUCAAAACUUUUCAUCUUUCUUGUGCUUGUUAUCUAUGCAUUUCUUUCAAUUUUGAGAGUAAUUCAAUAAUUCACCAACAUAAGGGCAUAAUUGAGAAUAUUAGAGAUCUUCAAUUAAUAUACAAAAGCAAGAAGAAUCUAAUGCUGCAUCCCAAUAAUUUGACAAGAAUAACUAGAGAAAAAAUAAGGCCACCAUGAUGUAGAAGACUGCCUUAGACUACCUUCAUUGGUUGUUAGAAGAAAAAAACAACCUCUUUGCAGAAUGAAGUAAUAAUGAACAUGCAAUAAUCCUUGUAAUUCUUCAAUCAAUAGGAUUUAGCCUAAUACCACAUCCACCAAUAAAUAAAAUCAAUAACAAAAAAAAUAAAAAUAUAUAUAUAUAUAUAUAUAUAUAUAUAUAUGUGUGUGUGUGUAUGAUUUUACAUAUUCUUUAAAGAUAUGUCAAUUAGAUGCCUUCCAAGUUACCUUCUAAAUUGAGAUUUUCUACUAGAAUUUCUACACAUAACUAAAAUUUAUCUACUAAUUCUAUUUUAUUUUUAUUUAGCAUCUUCUAUACUCAUCUUCAAUUAAUGAUUUCUAAUUAACACUAUUUUUGCAUUCUUUUUUUCUAAAACAACUCAUGAGUUGAUUUGAUAACUUACAACAAGCAUACUUGUUAUUAUAAAUUUCAACAAGUUUGUAGCUAAUGACUCUUGACAAUGAACCUAGACAUUAGUUUUCUUUGAGGCACUAAGCUUAUUAGGUUGUCAAAAGAUUACAUGAUAAUCUUUUAAUUGGAUAUAAAUAGCUUUGCUUCUGUAGCCUUCAAGAUCUUUAAGAUUAAAGACAAAAAAAUUAUAAUAUGAGGGAAUAAAAGCCCAUAUACUUUAUGCUUUGGCAUCAAUAAGGUGUGGUCUUAACUCCAAUGGCUAAUCAUUUAAUUUUAUGGUCUCUUUUUUUAUCAAUGAAGCACCAUUGCAUGCAAAUAUGGCUUUUAAUUACUAAUUUAUUAAAAAAAUAACUCAUAUUCUUCUAACAUCCUCACUUGUAGUUAAAUAAAGGACUUUAUCACCAUAAUGUUUGCAUAAAUUGGCAAUAUUGAUAGAACAUGGAGUGUCUUAAAAAAAAAAUCCCUUCAAAGAAUCUGUUGAAUAUUUAUUUUUCCUAAUUUUUUGCCAAAGUAACAAAGAUACAUUAAACUUAUAGCUUAUUACUUGCAUGCCAAUUUAUGCAAAAAAAUGACUCAAACUUCUUCAACCUUAGUAAGUUUAAGACCCAUUUCCUCUUAAUUAUUGUUCUUUGACUUUAAAGUACCAACAUAGUCAUGAAAAUACUUCUAAAUAGUAAAGCAUAUGCCAAAAAUCUAUACGAAAGUAUUAAAGUCCAUAGCUUAGCCUAGGAAAAAAAUAAUGUCUCUUAAUGAUAUCAGAAGCAAUUGUAGUACCAAUUAAGAAGUCCAUAGCAUGCUUUUUUUUAUUAACAUUAUGUUCUUCAUGCAUUUGAAAAUUAACAUCUCAAACCAUACUAGGUCUACAUGUUCAAAAUACAAAUGAUAUUGGAAAUAUUAUGAAGGUAAGAAAUGCACAAUGACGACCCUCUACCUUAUUAACUAAGAUAAGAAGAGGUUCACCAAUCUUAGUGACAACCAAAGAAAUUGAAUUAGCAUCCAAGAUAUCAUCAAUAUGGUGUUUAAGAGGUCGUUUAACUCUAGAAAGUAUUUUAUAAGCACGUGAGAUAAAGCUAAGUUAGUCCAAAUUAACCAAAAUCAAUAGAUAUAGAAGUCCAAAGCCAUAGCAUCCUCAAAGGUUGAAAGACCAAGGAGUUAGUUAAUUUUUUGAUCAAACUCCAAUAUUUAUAUUUGACUGUAAUUUAAUAAAAGUACAUUUUCAAAAAUGUAUUCAAGUGGUAUAAUUUGAUGCAUAAACUAAUAUUUUAUAAAUUACAUCAAAUCUCUUAAUAAAUUGGAUUAAAGGUCAUUCAACCCUUGACCUGCUCUAAUACUUGAAUGAUCUUGACAAUGCCAUGCAAUAAUUAAUAAGUCAAUUUUGCCUAAUUUCUUCAAAUUUUUAUUAUUAAUGAAGCUAACAUCUUAAAGAAAUUAGAUAAAAUAAACAAAAAUAAUAAAAAUUUAUAAUUGCUUAGAAUAUAAAAUCAAUAACCUUUUGUGAUAAUGUCAAAUGGCUUGAUUAGGUAUAAUUCCAAUAUCCAUACAAAUGUAUCAUCUAAUAAUAAGACCAAUUAUUAAUAAUACUAUCAAAUCUAUAUUAAUACUUACAAAGAAUUCCAUAAGGAUAAUACAUUUAUUUGGUGAAUGCCAAUGAAUAGGUUGAGCAAAGAUAGGUAAUAAAUAAGAAUUUGGUAUCUUCAAUAUAUUUAAUUGAGAUAUAAUCUCUUGAUAUUAGUAAAAAAGUUUUGCAUUUAUUUUCCUUGGUGGAAAUGGAUCCUUCUAAUGUCUUAUAUGAACUUCUAAGAUAGUAGAUUAUUUGAUUCUAUAGAAUUUGAUAUAAAUACUAAUAUUUCUUCUAAUAGAACUAAUUUACAGAAUAAGUUAGAUGCCAAUGCAUUACAAUCAAAUAAAGUUUCCAGUAACAUAAUCAUGACAUUGUCAUAUAAUAAUAUGAUUAUUAGGUGAAAAAAGAAAGAUUAUCUUUUAUAAUAGAAUAGCCUAAUAGAGGUUUUUUUAAGCUUAUCAAAAUUAAUAAUAUACUUGGCAAGUUUAGAUUUAAAAAAAUAAAAAUAAGUUUAUAAAUAUGAAUAUUUCAUGAAUUUUAUAGCAUAUUUAUAAAUAAAUAUUUGAAAAUUUAUUGUUGUGCUUUUUAUAAAUGUAUAUAAGAAAUUUGAGAUAAAUUAAGUAAUUAGAUUGAAGCAUAUAAGAAUUUUUAUAGAUUAUGGUCACAAAAAUUAGAAUUUAAAGGAUUUGUGAGGAUUUUAAAGAUAUUUGUCAAUCUAUUAGUUGGAUUGAAAUAUAAAUUUGUUCAAAGAUAGUUAGCUUGACUUUUAAGAAUUAUGAAAUUUUUUGAACCAAUUGAAUGGUGAAAUUAAGAGAUCGUAGUUUGGAAAUAUCAACAUUAAGGUUGGAGAAGGAAGCCGACCAACACCUCAGUAGAAUUUAAGAAGCAUCAUCUAUUUGGUAUGUGUGAUCUUCUUCAAACUUUUUGUUGUUAUUGAAAACUUAGUUGUUUCAAAGAUUACAAAUUUUGAGUCAAAAUCAAUGAUUCAAGCAUUAGUUAUUGAAUUUUCAACCUAUUAUAGGAUUUGUUAAGAUUUUAUUUAAGAUUUAGGAUUUGAUUAAAGAUUAAUUAGAAUUGAUUUAGGAUCUAAGAUUUGCUUAGGAUUUGAAUUAAGAUUUGUCUUGGAUUUGAUUAAGAUUUAAUUAGGAUUUAAGAUUUGUUUUGAUUUUGAUUAGGAUUUGAUUAAGAUUUGAGAUUUUAUUAGAAUUUAUUUAGGAUUUUAUUAAGAUUUAAUUAAGGUUUUAUUAGAAUUUUAUUAAGAUUUGAUUUAAGAUUUGAUUAAAAUUAAUUUAUGAUUUCAUUAGGAUUUUUUGAAGAUUAUAUUAGGAUUUGAUUAAGGUUCAAUUAAGAUUUUUAUAUUUGAUAUAUUUUUUAAAGAUUUAUUUAUUAUAUAUAUAUAUAUUUUAUUAAAAUUAAUUUAUGAUUAAUUUAUAUUUCUUUUAUAAGUUCUUGAGACUUCUUUUGAAUUUAAUUAAAUCUUAAUUAAUAUUUUUAUAAUUUAAAAUAGAAUUAUUUUAGGAUUCUAUUAGAGUUUUUAGAAUCAUCUUGUUGGAAGUUCCAUUUUUCAUUCUAUAGUUAGGUAUCUAGUGCAUUUUCAAGUAGAUUUCAUACAAUACAACAAUGGUUUUUACAAAUGUGACUAAAAUAAAUUCUUUUCUUCUAUCACUAAUAAGCCAUUUUGGUCUAAUCUAUGUUUUUUUAGUCUAAUUAUUUAGACCAAAAUCAAAUAGAUAAAGUGUUCUUUGGUCAACUAAAAUAUCAUAGUUGGUGGCACUAGUCAUUGCACACUUUAGAAGCAAGCAUAAAUAAAGUAGUCUAGAUCUAGUACAAAAUAUUAAUUACAAUCACUGCCUGAUAUAAUCAAUAGCUUGCUUCAUGCUUUCUACUAAAUUGAUAAUGGUGAAAGAACAAGUCUCCAAGUUUGUAGGAAUUUGACCUAAUUCUUGAGUAAUCUAUUUAUCAUUCAUAAUUGAUUCACUCUCAAAAUCCAUCAUAAAGUAUAAUGGUGUAACAUGAGUAGUAUUACUAUUAGUAUGACUAAUAAUAAGCACAUUAUUAUAUUAUAUGUUGUCUUAUUUGAGAAUGCAUUAGGCAUUUAGAUAUAAAAGGUGAAGUUAUGUUUUACAAGUAUCCAAGUAAUUCUAAUAGGUUUUAUCCAUAUAAGAAGAAUGUAAUUUUAAUUUUAAUUCAAAAAUACUUAAAGCUAAUAUAAAGUACUUAAAAACACUCUUCUUGGUAACCUCAAUUAUAUACAAACUUCAAUUGUCUUAUUACUUUUAUAAUUAGGUAAUUUUGAUUUCUCUUUGUGAGUCCUAAUCCUAAUCAAUGAGCUUCAAUAAGGUUUAACUUCUAAUUUGAUUGUCUACUUGGAAUAAAAUUUUGCAUAAAAAUGUCAUAAUAAAUCUUCUAUAUGUUCGUGACAAAUUCAGCUCAAUUCAACUUAUAGAUUGUAAGAAAACAUCCAAAAAAUUGCACUAAUGUCACUUGGCUACCAACUUAAAGAUCGAUGCAGAUGUUCUAGUAGCAAUUUCUCCUUCUCCAAGUAUUAAUUUCAGCUCAAAAUUAGAGUAUAGCUUGUUUUUUAAGUCUUUUAAUACUAUGCCAAAUUUCACCUUGUUUCAAUUAGUAGAUCUUUAGAUAUUAUAGAAAUCCUAGUCAACUUCAAAUUGCUAACUUCCGAUAUCUUCUUAUACCAAAAUCCAAAUAUCUUCCAAUUGCACUAUUAGAUUAAUACAAAAAAAAUUGCACACUUAAUACACUCAAUUAAACAAGUGAUGUCAAAUUUUGAAUUAUAGAUAUAAUACCAAUUACACAAACUAGCAAAAAAUACUAGCUCUAAUUGUAUUGCAUAAAUUCAAAGUCACCAAUACAAAUCUUGAUUUUGAACAACAAUUGCAAAGUCAUUCCAAAUUUCAUUAAAAUAAGCCUUAUGCUUAUAGAAUAAGCUUAAAGCUAACUUUGCAAUCUAAGUUACUGAUCUCUAUAUGCAUCUAUUCUUUACCCUAGGCAGUCGUUUUAAUGGCUAGAGGUUUGAUUUUAAUCCUAUCCUACAAAAAGUCAACCUUUAGAUAUCAAUCCAAUCUAUCUUAGGAAUAUUUUAGUCCAAUCUUAUCCUUAAUUUAAUCUUAGUAUCAAUCAUAUUAAUUAUUUAUCUCUUUUAUUCUAUUUUUAUUAAUUUAUGGCCUUUCUAAAGUAAUAUAAGAAUUUUUAUAGCCUAAAAGGUAAAAUUACUAACCAAUCUUUAACCAAUUAGCUAUUAUAAUAAAAAAAUAAAUUAAGAAGCUUUUAUAAAAGCCAUAUUUAAUUUUCUUGAAUUAUUAUUGAAUCAAGAUAAUUAGAUAUUAAUUAAAAAUUUAUUUUUGAUUAUAUUUUCAUUAUAUAGUCAUGUAUUAGAAUAUGACAAUAUUAUUGUUAUUAACUGAUUGUACAACUCUUGGACAUAAGUUUUGAUAUUUUCAAGCAUGUAUAACCACAAUGUUAGACAAAAAUGCUAUCCAUGUAGCAAAUGACACUUCACUUGAAGGAUUUAUAUUUGUAUCAUUUAAGUAACCUUUCAUUAAAUAUGGCAAUAGUUUCAUCUAUAAGCUUUGCUUACAACUUAGCAAAAUACUUCUCUAUUAAAGGCUUUGUGAUUGCUUAAGCUACCUAUAUAAAUAGAAUAUGUACUUUGCCUUUCAAAAUUUUGACAAUUUGGUUCUCAAUAAAUACAUCUCUUGACUCUAUUGCAAAUCAAGUCAAAUGAGUUUAUAUAGUAGAUAGAGUAUUUUCCUUUUCAAGUCAAAAAUCUUUAAUGUGUUGUAUUCAAUCAUGCCAAAAAACUUCCAUAUUUAUUCUUUAAGUAUCUAAUAAAUACGUGGAGAGGCUCAAAUGAUGGUGGCUUUCCUAUUAUAUACAAAGUUGUCUUCAUUGCUUAAGUCAUUCAUGACAAAAGAGAUGAAGUAUUGGCUAAAGAAGUAGCUAUUCUUUUUCCUUCAAUAUCUUCUACAAAUGUAUCAAUUUUUCUUUGGAUUAGAUCUUUUUUUUUUCUUUGUAAGUAUUAAACUUGAAAUAGACUCUCUUUAAGAGCUGAAAUAAGUUCUAUUCUUGCUUUCCAAUAAUCAUUUGCUUUCAAAAAUUCAAGUGAAUAUUCUUUAUUUCAUCUCCCAUAGAUUUAGAAUAUCUCAUGCUCGAAGUAUUGUAGUAAGAAUUCAAAGGCAUACCAUUCAUUGAAAGUGGGAGACCUUUGAUGUUUUUUUUU